CUUCAUGACGCCGUAUGUGAGCAAGAACCCGAGGGGCGCGUACGUGAACUACCGGGACCUCGAUAUCGGCACGAACCAGGUGGUCGACGGCAUGACAAGCUAUGGAAGUGCCAAGGUGUGGGGCGAGAGCUAUUUCGGCCCGGAGAACUUUAGGAGACUCGCCGAGAUCAAGCGCAAGGUGGACGCCGGCGACUACUUCCAGAGCGAGCAGAGCGUGCCGCCAUUUCCCUUGAAGGAGUAGCUAGUGUAGCUAUGCAAAACAAAACAAUCGUGUUUGACCGAAUGUAACUGCUAUUAGUUCUGAUGAGCUAAAAAGGUUAUAACAUGUGUCAACAUAAAGUCCCUAACUAAUUAUUUCUGCAUGAGUUUGGUGCUACAGAUAUAACGUAGCCCGAUAGAAUUCAAAACCAAGAAGUUAUUUUUUUUCAGAUAAUGGGCAGCAUCAUUCACUUUUUUUUGCGAGAUGAUGUGCAGCAUCAUUCACACAUUUGAGAUCUGUUGAGUAGAAACUAUAGUCCUAAUAACGUCAGGAGGUACAUUGAACUUGAACCAGCAUGACCCUGCAUCAUGUUCGGCUUUGCGAAAACAUCAGCUGCCGCAUUACAAAAUCAAAGGGUGCGGGGAUGACAGCGAUAAUAGUGAACUUACAUGUAAUCAGUUACAUGCGGUAAGUGCUCUCAUUAGUGGGCCAGUCCACAAUAGGCGUCGUAUAGACGUGCUGGCUCGGCUGUGCUCGGGCUAGGAAAGGAAGAUGGGCUAAAGGGAGCAAAAUGGCCCUACGGGUAGGGGUGAAAAGCACCAGACUACAUCGGGACAACUGCUACAUACGCGACAAAAUAACCGUGCACCCCUAUUUCUCGCUUUAAGUGAGCACAGGGGAAGGUUCGCGUUGGGAGGAGACCCGAUGGGCCGGCCCAGCCACGCGGAAGGCUACGGCCUAUUUUUUUUUUCUGUUUUCUGUUCUUUUUUUUAGUUUUUUUGUAUUUUUCUUUAUACGUUAAAACAUUCUACCUAUAUACAAAAAACACUCUUCAAAAACACUUUUGAAAAAUAUUGAAUAAUUAUUAAAAAAUGUUAAAGAAGAAUUCUAAAAAAAUUGAAUAAGUAUUAAAAUGUCGAACAAGUAUUUGACAAUUGUUGAAUGAGUACUUCAAAAAAUGUUGGACUAGUAUUUUAAAAUAUUGAAUAAGUAUUAAAAAUGUUGAACAAGUACAUGAAAAUGUUGAUUAAGUUUUAAAAAGUGUUGAAUGGGUAUUUGAAAAUGUUAUAACAUGUAUUUUAAAAAUGUCAAAUAAGUAUUAAAAUGUUGAACAAGUAUUCAAAAAAUGUUUAAUAAGCGUUUGAACAAUGUCGAACAUGUCUACAAAAAUGUUGAUCACUUAUUAAAAUAAUGUUUUUGACAUACGAGAAAUGUAGAGUGAAAACGAAAACAAACAUAAGAAAAAAGAAAAAAGAAAAAAUGAAGAAGAAAAAAAACAAAAAAUGGAGAAGAAACAGUGAAAACCACGACUCAUUUGGACUUAAGUUGCCUAAUUCUACUACGAUGUCACCAACCAAAGGCUGGUCUAGUGUCGGCUUGAUCGAAAGCUGGAGACCAGUGUUCGAUUCCUUGCAUUUAAAUCACAUCUAAAUCAAAACUUCAUUUCCUUCACCUGCAAAUGCCAAACUAAAUUGGGCCGGUCCGCCGACAACGUGGUCGACGCCGCCAUGGUCGAUGCCGAAGGGAACCUCCUGGCGGACAAGAAGGCCAUGGGGGACGAUCUCUUCUAGGCCAUCUGAGAUGGUGGCGAGGAAACUUCAGCAUUGUGCUGUCGUGGAAGGUGAGGCUGGUGCCGGUCCCAUCGACGGUGACCUUCAUCAAAGUCACCAAGACCGUCGAACAUGGCACGUUCGACACAGUGACAAAAUGGCAAAAGGUCGAGCCGGCACUCCCUGAUGACCUCAGUGUACAUGUGGUCUUGCAAAACCGUCAGGCCAACUUCCAGGACCUGUUCCUCGGCAGCAACAGCGUGGUGGUGGCGAUGAUGGGGAGCCGAUUCCCGGAGCUCGGGGUGACACGCGCCGACUGCAGUACACCGCGUACAUAUACUUCCGUGACGCCAUCUACAGCGAGCCGCUGGAGAGGCUCCUCCUCAACCGGUCCAAGACCCUAGGCCCCAUUGUCAAGAACAAGUCCGACUAUGUAAAGAAACCUCUGACCAAGGAGACGUUGGAGAAAAUGUUCCUCUGGCCCAGCGGUGCGGCGACCGGGCAGCUAGUCCUGGAGCCGCACGGUGGAAGAGUGGGCCGCAUCGCCGCCGAGGACACCCUGUUCCCGCACCGGAGCACCGUGUUGUACAAUAUCCAGUAUGUCGAGUUCUGGAAUGGCGAAGGGAUCGGAGGCGAGGUUACGCAGAACUGGGUCGGGAGCAUGUAUGACUUCAUGGUGCCGCUCAUGAGCAAGAACCCAAGGGGCUCUCUUUUGAAUUACAGGGACCUCGACAUCGGUAUGAAUAAGGUGGUUGACGACGUAACAAGCUAUGGAAGCGGCAAGGUGUGGGGAGAGAGUUAUUUCGGCCCAAAAAACAUUAGGAGACUCACGAAGAUCAAGCGCAAGGUGGAUGCUGGCGACUACUUCCGGAGCGAGCAGAGCAUCCCACCACUUCCCUUGAACCAGUAGAGUAGUUGUGCAAAACAAAACAAUCGUGUUUGACAAAAUUGUACUCCCUCCGUCCGAAAAUAUUUGUCGGAGGAACGAAUGUAUCUGGACGUAUUUUAGUUCUGAACUGAUAUACAUUUAUUUUUAUCUUUUUCUCCGACAAGUAUUUCCGGAUAAGAGAAUAACUGCUAAUAAUUAUGAUGAGCUAAAAAGGUUAUAGCAUCUGCCAACAUAAUGUCCCUAACUAGUUCGCAAAAAAAUAAGUGGACACCGGAUGCAAACUUCCGCUCGUGCAUACCCGAGGGGAUCUGCCGACACUGGUCCUCCUGAUGCAUCCGACGACGCGCUCCAGAUGCUUCUCUCCUCUACUCCCGAGUCCCGACCGACACGUUCCCGGUUCAUUUGCUCGUCACACGCGGACGAUCUCAUUUGCCAUGGAUCAUAGUUCCUCGGCUCAACCAUGUGAAUGGACCCUGUUUGCACAUCACCGGAGCGAUACCAUCCGCGCCAGGUCGAGCGGCCACGGAACGUCAGCCAUGGCUGAACGCCGCGUCGGCGAGCAGACCGGCAGCGGCACUAGCGUCUCUGACAUGUCCGUGUGGCAGGAUGCAGACCACACACAGCUGGCACACAUGUUGGGCGCAGCACGGUUCACACCGCGAAGUUGGAGGACUCCGGGCAAGCUGGGCAUCCACGUGUCCCCAUGCCAGGCGACGAGCUGGCCGCAUGGCUACACGCGCCCACACCGCCAGCGACUAGCGCGUGGAUGUAGGCCUUUAUGAAUUUUUGAAGGGCUGUAUGUAUGUGACAAUUUGUAGCACCAAUACGAGGAUACAUGAUACGACAAUUUCUAAGAGGACGUGAUUAGCCAGCAAUCGUUGGCUGGCUAGCGGUUCAGGGCACAUGCCCAAAUAAGGUAGUGGACCCUACCCCUGUUUCCAGCUGGUGCCCAAAUGAGGAAAGAAUGGUUCGAUCACGCACAUGGACAGAUUAUAUCAUCCCCCGAUUGUAAUUUUGCAGCCUUUCAUCCUUUCCCAUCCAUUUCAGCUCGCUGCUCCUCCUCCAACCCUCCCUCCCUUCUCAUCCCUCUUCUGCCAUGGAUCUCACAUACAUGGAGCUCUCAGGAGCGAGGAUCCAUCCACCCACCCCAUUAGCACUUGAAGGUCCCUUCCGGUACAACCUCCCCCGCGCCACCUCUCUUUCUCUUUCUGGACAUCUUGGGGAUGUACCCUCUCCCUGCAACAAGGAAACACAAAAGGCCAGCAAUGCUAGGAUGUAUGCAUGCAACUACCCCUUGGAUUAGGUCUUUUUUCAUUUGAUGUCUAGAGGAAAAAAAAAGCAAGGUAACUUGUUGCAGUUAUUUUGGAAUGUUCAGUCAACCCAACAAGCAAAUCUCUCUAAUGCAAUCUGACUUGUUAGGGUAGAAAAAACCUUAACAGAAAACAUGCAAAAACAGUUGUUUGAAUAUUGUUGACAUUGAAACACACAAGUUACAGGUUUGUUGUUUGGAAAACUUAUAAAUAAUUUUCCCAACCAAAACUCAUCUAAGGGAGGGGGAAUAGGUUUGUGUGUCAGGUAAGUAACACAUGCAGAACAUGCAAGUCUCCUAAAACAGCAAGCAAGUCUCCUAAAACAGCAAGCAAGUCAUACUCAUCACUAGCUAUAAUACACUGUGUAAUGCAUUGUGACUUGCUAGGGGCAGGCAAAAAACCUUAUGUUCCUUCAGCAAAAAUGUGGACAUUGAAAAAAACAAGCUAUAGGUUUGUUGUUUGGAAAAACAUAGAAAUAAUUUGCCUAAAAAAACUUAAAGUAAGGGGAUGUGGGAGGGUGGUUGUGUGUCAUGUAAAUCAAACAUUCAAAAACAGGCGUGUGACAGUUUUCCUAAACAGUAGGUAAGUGAGAUGUUUAACACUUGCAAGAAACAUUCAAAUGGCAAGAAAGUCCUACUCAACACUAGCUAUAGUGAAUUGUCUAAUGCACUCUGACUUGCUAGGGUAGACAAAAAAACUUGUGUUCAUUUGGGGAACAUGUUGACAAUGAAACACACAAGUCAUAAGGCUGGUUUGUUUGGAAAACUUUGAAAUAAUUUCCCUAAACAAAUUUCAAGUGUGGUGCAUNNNNNNNNNNNNNNNNNNNNNNNNNNNNNNNNNNNNNNNNNNNNNNNNNNNNNNNNNNNNNNNNNNNNNNNNNNNNNNNNNNNNNNNNNNNNNNNNNNNNNNNNNNNNNNNNNNNNNNNNNNNNNNNNNNNNNNNNNNNNNNNNNNNNNNNNNNNNNNNNNNNNNNNNNNNNNNNNNNNNNNNNNNNNNNNNNNNNNNNNNNNNNNNNNNNNNNNNNNNNNNNNNNNNNNNNNNNNNNNNNNNNNNNNNNNNNNNNNNNNNNNNNNNNNNNNNNNNNNNNNNNNNNNNNNNNNNNNNNNNNNNNNAACCAUUGGGGAAGUCAAAAAGCAAAAAACAAGCAACUCCAUAUGAAUUGUUAUGCAAGUGUGCUGAUAAAGGGGGAAACCACACUAGUGCCAAACUCAAAAAACCACAGAUCUAGCAACUCAUACCGCACAUCUGGCAACUCAUGCCCGUAGAUCUGGCAACUCGUAGCCUGUGCAUCGCAACUUUACACCCGCACCCCUCUCAAACAUCGCAACUUAUUAGUUUGUUGCCAAAAAGGAGAAGGGGAAAUCAAAAGCACGUCUUCCUAUAAUGUAGGCAAUUUUCGUAUAAGUUAUAGACAACAAUCUUUUUUGCUACACAAAAGCACUAACAACCACCUACUGGGGAUGCAUAAAAACACAUGUUGGUAAGCUCUAGAGGUUGUGCGAAGUUUACCUGAAGUUGUUGGUGAAACUUUUUUGCUUUUGACAAAGGGGGCCAGAAAGCAAGUCAUGUUAUGAUGUAGGCAAUCUGCAUAUAAGGUUCAGGCAACUCACUUUAUUUGCUGGAACAUAAAAAGCUAAUUGCCCUCUACGGAGGAGGCGGAAAAAACAAGUUGGAAAGCUAUGGGAUGUGUGAAGUUUACCUGGAAGUGGCUGACAAAGCUUCUUGCUUGCAAAGCGAGAAAAUAAACAACAAGUCCUGCUGGGAUGUAGGCAAAAUGCAUAUAAAUUUGAGGCAACUCCUCUUUGUUUGCUGAAACAAAAAAAACAUAUAAAGUGGGAUUCAGCCCCACUUGGGGCGCACUACAAGAAAUAUGUCAACUUGUGACCUUCUGUCAGUGACCCUGGAAGAAUUGGUCAUAAAUCUACGACCAUUUGAGACCAAUUGGUCAAAAGCUGUUCGGGAGGCUCCAAACCCUAAACUAUAACGACCAUUUUGGUCAGAAAGGUCGUAAUUUCCUUACACGAAAUGGUCAUAAAGCAGAUAGCACUGGACCGUUGCCUUAUUUCUAGCUGAUAACGACCAAUAUAGAUGGUCAUAACCUUGUAAAUUGUGGUGGGUUGCUAUGACUAGGCACCACCUCAUCAAUUUUGCCUAUGUGUCAUGUCCCUGUGUCAAUUUUUGCCCUAGGUUGUGAAGCAACCUAUAUUUCUGUCAUUCCCAAAAUUCCCCCGAAAAUCACAUAAAUUCUUUGUGUCAUAUCUUCGUCAAAUAUGUAGAAAAACCUUCCUUGCCUAGUUCAAAAAUAUAUCAACAAUAUUCAUUUUCCUAUUUUGUAGAACAACACUUUGUGAAGGAAGUGCUAUUUAUAUAUUCUUGAUUGUCCUCAAAAAUUUUGGGCACUAUUUCCUAUCCAAAUCAUUUCCUCAUGAAAAAAUUCAGCUCCAUUUGCCUAGUAAAUCUUCCUUGGCAAAUUUCUAACGUUUUUGUCCACCUAGAACCUUUGUGAAUGAAGUACUAGCUAUGCAUAUCCUAAUGACUUGAAUUUUUGCCACAUAUUCUAUAUGCCUAUGUAACUUAUCUGCACCAAAUUUGAGCUCAGUUAUUUAGCCAAUUUCUCUCACUAAUUUUCCGAAGUUUUUGUCCAGAGAAGAGCAUUGUGAAGAAAGUGUUAUUUCUAUAUUCUUGAUUGCCCUCAAAAUUUUUGGGCACUCUUUCCUAUCCAAAUCAUUGCCUCAUGAAAAAAUUCAGCUCCAUUUGCCUAGUAAAUCUUCCUUGGCAAAUUUCCAAAGUUUUUAGCCACCUAGAACCUUUGUGAAAGAAGUACUAGCUAUGCAUAUCCUAAUGAGUUGAAUUUUUACCACAUAUUCUAUAUGCCUAUGUAACUUACCUACACCAAAUUUGAGCUCAUUUCAUUUAGCCAAUUUCUCUCACUAAUUUUCCGAAGUUUCUGUCCAGAGAAGAGCAUUGUGAAGGAAGUACCACUUUGGCAUGUCCAAAUAGUAUCCAUUUUCUACAGUGCAUUCCUAUGCCCAAGUAACCAUCCUCCAUCAAAUUUUAGCUCAAUCCAUUCAUUAUUUUGAGCCUGUCUUCAACAUUCAUAUUUAUGUCCAAUGUGGUACUUUACAAAGCAAGCACCGCCUAGGCUCCUCCUUUUGAGCUAAAAAUUUGUGAAGACAGUCUUCUUACUAACUGAUCAUCGUCAGCCAAAACUCACGCCCAUUAGCCAUGUGCAUUUCCCGUACUGCUAAUCAAACACUUGGCUGCUAAUUCAUAUUUGAGCAUAGAUCGGUCUCCUCGUGAGAAUCUUAUGUUGUAGUUUUCUUCCUAGCACCUACCUGGGGAGUGCCCAACCCACUAGACAUGCCUAGGCCACCCAGAACGCAUGGCAACGCCACAAUCACGCGGUGACCACGCGACGGGCAUGCGAGUUUACGCGCUCUAGAGUUGGGCCCUCGGCCACCGUCCAAACCUCGACGUAUCGCCACCAAACCAUGUAUUUCUAAUUAAAUAGGUACUUAUGUAACUAGAAAUGAUUUUUCAGAAAAAUAAAGAGCAAACUAUAAGGCAGCUGCAGUUCAAAUUUGACCUGCUUCCAACUAAAUUGGCGGAAAUUUAUCUUUUUCACGAGAGGUGGAUCAGAAGUUUUUACAACCAACCAUUUUGUCAAUUGUGCAUUCAAUAUGUCCUAGUAUUUUAGAAAAUUGAUUUGGUCCAAUUUUGCAACAAAUAUAUGGUAGGUCCUUCACAAAAAAAUUCAUUUGGGGCACUCAGAAAAUGGAAAAUGAAUUUUUCGUCCAAAGAAAAUGAAAACUUUCUUAGGCAACAUUGUUUGCCAUUCCAAGAUGCACCCUUAUGCACAAUAUAAGAUCAUUUGAACAAACUAUGUCAUGAAUGUGCUCAUAAGAUUGAGCAUUUGGGUUGAAAGCCAUGCAUCUUCACACUUGAUAGCUCGUUUCUGAGAACACUUUUUUUAAAUAAUUGCGUAUUACAAGUUUACAAUUUUUUCUAUAUCUUGGUCACAUAUAAUGACACAAUGUGAAGGUUUUCCAAUUUUUUGUUUUUUUUUUGAAUUUUUUAUGCCCGUUUCAAAAUGGGAUUAAAACGGCGAGCUUGACCGUUCGUAGCUAGUGGUUGAAUCUUGGAAAAAAUUUGAUGUUUCUUUGAUAACAUAGAUACUUAUGUACCUAGAAAUGAUUUUUGAAAUAAAUAAAGAGCAAACUAUGAGGCAGCUACAGAUCAAAUUUGACCCACUUCCAACUGAAUCGGCGGAAAUUUGUCUUUUUCACCAGAGGUGGAUCAAGGAUUUUGACACCAAAUCAUUUGGUCAAUUGUGCGUUAAAUAUGUCCUUGUAUUUUAGAAAAUUCAGUUCGUCCAAUUUUGAUACAAAUAUAUGGUAGGUUCUUCACAAAAAAAACUCAUUUCGGUCACUCAAAAAAUGGAAAAUGAUUUUUUUGUGCAAAGAAAAUGAAAACUCCCUCAGGCAACAUUGUUUGGAAUUCCAAUAUGCACCCUUGUGCACAAUAUGAGAUCAUUUCAACAAACUAUGCCAUGAAUGUGGCCAUAAGAUUGAUCAUUUGGCUUGAAAGCCAUGAAUCUUCAUGCAUGAUAACUCAUUUCUAAGAACAUUUUUUAAAAUAAUUGUCGUAUUACAAGUUUAUUAUUUUUUAUGGAAACUUGGUCACAUAUAAUGACACAAUGCAAAGAUUUUCUAGUUUUUUGAUUUUUUUUUGAAUUUUUUAUGCCCGUUUCAAAAUGCGGUCAAAACGGCGGGCUUGACUGUUCCUAGUUAGAUGUUCAAUUUUGAAAAACUUUUGAUGUUUCUCCAAUUAAAUAGAUACUUAUGUACCUAGAAAUAAUUUUUGGAAAAAAUAAAGAGCAAACUAUGAGUCAGCUGCAGUUCAAAUUUGACCCAGUUCCUACUAAAUCAGCGGAAAUUUGUGUUUUUCAUCGGAGGCGGUUCAAAACUUUUGACAUCCAACCAUUUGGUCAAUUGUGCAUUAAAUAUGGCCUAGUAUUUUAUAAAAUUGAUUUGUUCCAAUUUUUCCACAAAUAUAUGUCAGGUCCUUCACAAAAAAAACUCAUUAUGGGCACUCGAAAAAUGGAAAAUGAAAUUUUUGUCCAAAGAAAAUGAAAACUCCUUAAGCAACAUUGUUUGCCAUUCCAAGAUGCACCCUUGUGAACAAUAUGAGAUCAUUUGAACGAACUAUGCCAUGAAUGUGGCCAUAAGAUUGAUCAUUUGGCUUGAAAGCCAUGAAUCUUCACACAUGAUAGCUCAUUUCCGAGAACACUUUUUUAAAAGAAUUGCAGUAUUACAAAUUUAUUAUUUUUCCUGCUAACUUGGUCACAUGUAAUGACACAAUGCGAAGGUUUUCCAUUUUUUUAUUUUUUUUGAAUUUUUUAUGCCCGUUUCAAAAUGCGUAAAAAUGGCGAGAAUGGCCAUUCCUAGCUAGUGUUUGAAUCUUAAAAGUUUUUUAGUGUUUAUCUGAUUAAAUAGAUACUUAUGUACCUAGAAAUGGUUUUUGGAAAAAAUUAUGAGCAAACUAUGAGGCACCUCUAGUUCAAAUUUGUCUUGGUUCCUACUGAAUCUGCAGGGUUUUGUCUUUUUCACUAGAGGUGGAUCGAAAGCUUUUGGCAGCCAACCAUUUUGUAAAUUGUGCAUUGAAUAUGGCCUAAUAUUUUAUAAAAAUGAUUAGGUCCAAUUUUGUAACAAAUAUUUGGUAGGUCCUUCACAAAAAAAACUCAUUUUGGGCACUCGAAAAAUGGCAAAUGUUUUUUUUUUGCCAAAAAACUCAUUUCUCAUGACAUAUUUUUAAAGAUAUUUAUCUUAUUUCAUGUUUGUUACUUUUCCUGAAAACUUAUUCACAUUUGGUAACACAAUGAGAAGGUUUUUUAUUUUCUUUUUGAAUUUUCUCAGGUCAUAAAAUAGUUGAUAUGAUUUUAACAUGCUAUUUUUAAUCAACUACGACCAAUUUAGAUGGUCAUAACGUGGUACUGCAUUUUGAUUGGUCCGUCGACGUCUCACGCGGAUCGUGCACGGAACACCGUCGGAUGCUCGCGGAUCCAACGGCAUUCCUCGGCCCACCACACCAACCCCAAGCCCACCUAAGCCGAAACCCUAGCUCUACUUGUCGACAUUUUCCAUCCACCCCCCCCCCGCCUCCUUUCUUUCUCUGCCUCACGCAACACGCACCCGCAGUCCAAUCUCUCGCUCCUCCUUUCUUUCUCUGCCCCUCGCUCCCACAAUCCCUCCCCUGAAACCCUUGCCGCCGCCACCUACGCCUCUUGUUCCGGCGUGUUCCGGCGGGCCUCGCCGGCGCGUAGCCCAGAUCCGAGCUCCCCUGCCUCCGCUCUUCCCUCCCCUCCGGCCAGAUCCGCUUCUCGCGGCCCCGGGAGCUCAUCCCCAAGCCCUUACCACGGUUAGGGUUUCGAGGGUGGCAUUCCCACCAAUUCCGGCGCGACAGCGGCAACUGUGCUCCGUCGUCUUCGACGCCUGCCUCAAGUCCCACGGGCGGUUCUGCCUCAUGGAUGGUGCUCCUGCACCUGAUGGCUAUGGGGCGGACGCGCGCGGUGGGUAAACUCUGGCGAGGCGCAGCUGUAUCUUUUCGAGAUCUCGCCAGGUACGGAUCCAUGGCGACAUCAUGCUUCCAAGACCAUCUUCCUCGAUCUUGCCCUCUCAUUUACUUACGCAUCUCCAUCCCUCGUAUGUGUUUCUUUGAUCUCAAGGGACCACGACCGACACCACUGACCAGGGCAUUUCCCUCGCUCGGCCUUGACUGCUCCAAGUCCAAGGUUGCUGGGGAAUGGAGGAUGGUGCACGGUAGAGUGGAGAUCAGGCGGAUCGCCAACAACAUCUCCAGGCGGGCUACCUUCGGCAAGCGCAGCGCCGGGCUGCUGAAGAAGGCGCAUGAGCAGUUGAUCGUUAUCAGUAAAGUGAUCUGUGCAAGGUUGCAAUGUUGGUUCUAUAUUUUCGUUGAUGGAGUAGAUGAAUUAGUUGUAUAGCUGUAGAUGAUGAGUAGAUGAUGUGUACAUUUUGUGUUCUUGAAACAAAAUUACUAAGCAAGGUGAAGCCCUGAUCUUGGCUUCAUCACUGUGCUAUCUCUCUGGUAGCUUGCUAGUACUAUCUCUCUAAAACAUAUGCAAUUUUAAUCCCAAAAAUCCAACCUGGUAGUGGCAGAUUUUGCCUUGUUAGAGUUGUAUUGCGAUUUAAUUUAGUGCUACAUGGUUUUAGAUUUCUUUGUUAAGUUGAUCCAAUUUAGUGCUACCAGCAUAGAAGUGAAGUGUGUAGGAUUGGUAUUAUGCCCCUGUGUUAUUUGUAUUCUUCACAGGUUCACACAGUCAGUCUUCCAAGGUAUGUCAUGCAUCCUACUAGUGUUCACAGCCCUCCAAGUUCAUGGGGGUCUUGUUUGUUUGUUCAUGUGAUGAUUCUUAUACACAUUUCAUAGUUUCUUCUACAUAGGCGCUACAUUCUGGGUAAAUCCUAUGCAGAUUAUGAAGUAACUUGGGUGCCUCGGUAACCAUCUUCUUCGUUCUUUUGUAGUUGUGGAGACCCUACGGGUUCUGGUGACGGCUAGGGUUCUGAUGUGGUUCGAUUGUGGCAUGGCAGAGCGGGCGAUAGAGGUUUCUUGGAAGCCACCAACAUCAACGGCGUGCUCUCACUCCAGCUCCUAGCCAGGGUUCGUUGGCCUCCUCUCUCUCUCUCUUCCCCCACUAUCUCUCUAUUUCGAUUUACCUAUCUAAAUCCCCUCUCUCUGCAACUGACCCCUUCUCUCCCCUCGCCUUGUGGAUACAGAUCCAUCGAGUGAUACAUCAUCGCCAGAAUGUAGUCCUUGGUGCAGUCCUCCCUCAGGCCACAACACUCACACUUGACUGACUCUAUCUCCAUUGCUGCUGCCUAUGGCUAUUGCUCUCUGGUGUGGUGUGCAAUGCUGAGCUGACCUUGGUUGGCUUCUUAGGAGGCUAUUUGUAGGGGAGGAUGUUAUUACAGUUGUGAGGGCAGGGGUGGGGAUGGGAAUUUAGGUUGUUGUUACUUGGUAGUACUUACACAGUGAAGUCCAGUUGAUUUUUCAUAUGGUAUACCUUGUUAUCGAUCGUCAAUUGCUUCCUAAUCCACCUCAUCAAAGCUUUCAAAGGCUCUCAUGUUUUCUACAUUACAAAAAAUUGUAGUGCUGACCCCACAAGUACUUAGCAUUUCUAAAUGUGUCAAUUUAUUUUGCUCCCCUAGGUUUAGCCCCUUAGUUACAAAGACUUUAAAUCGAUCUGUGGGCAAGUGGGUUGGUAAACAUAGAAGAUGUAGAGAUGUAGAACUGAAGCUUGGUACUUAUCCAUUUAAUUUGUAGGUACUUAGUCUUACUACACGGUGAAUUGUAGUUCGUUUGUUAUAUGGCAUAGCUUAUUAGCAGCUGCUGCUCUUUAUUUCAAGCAGUAAUGUAGUAGCCUACUUUGUAAACUGAUGAUUUGUAUGUGUUAAGUUUUCAACCCAGACAACCCCACUAUGGUAACUUGCUUCCUAAUCUAGCACGUGAUUUUUUUGGAAAUAUUGCUCUUUUCUUUUUUGUGAAUCAUAUUCUGGACUGACUGUUAGUGUUGUUGAAUGCACAUAUUAUUUUGUUACUGGGUAUGUGAAAGCCAAUUAGCUAGGGUCAAUUUCUGCUACUGCUAAUGCCUAUUGAUCCAUAUGUUCUUGAUUCUGUACACAUGGACAACUUACACCUAACGCCAUGUACUAUACUGACAACCGCCUCUCGUCUAGCGCUGCUACACAACCACAUUUCCAUAUGUUCUUGUUUAUGAUGGUCUUUGUGAAUUAUUCUUGAGAACAAAUGUGCUUGUGAAAGUUAGAUCAGUAUUGUUUCUUGAUUUGUCUCAUGUGUCCAUGUCCAGGUUCAGUUAUUUCCCUUGUAAUCAGCUCUGUUUUAUGUCAUUUCCUGGUGUUAACAUCACCAUGGCAUGACUAUUAUAUCACUUAUUGAAUGACUUGGUGGAAUAUGAAUCUUAGUGACAGUAACGUUAUGGCGGUAUAAUUCGGCAAUUCGCCUCAUCCAUUUUUGUAGCUGAAUUCUGCGGCAUCUGUUGUUUCAAUUUGAUGUUGUUUUAAUAUUUGUCGUUUCAACUCAGAUGUUCUCAUUUUAUCUUCACAUCUACACACACACACACACACACACACACACGCACGCGCACAGAGAGAGAGAGAGAGAGCUUUUUCUGCUGUGGUGCACAUGGAUGUGGAAUAAUGCUCAUUUUGGUAUAAAGAUUUGGAGUCUUGCCCAACUUUGCCUAACUGUUCCACUGCUGGCAUAGAAAAGUAUUGUUGUGUGAUGUUCCCCUGCGGACUUGUCUCACCAGUCCGGGUAGCAAGUACUAGCAUCAUGUGCUUCAUUCUAUGUGUUGUGACGGUGCCUGUGCUAGUAUGCUUAGAAAUUUGGGCUAGCUUUUUGUGUACAUAGUCUGUGAGUUGUUGCUUCUUUCUACAGAAAAUAAUUUGGGUUGUCUUCUGUGGGGGUGUGCAGGGCUGGAGAGCUUUCCGCGGAGGAGAUGGACCCUCUGAUGGCGGUGGUGCACAAUCCGCGGCAGUUCGUCUCAGUUCGUCUCCAACGUCGUUGACAUGAAGCUCGGGGAUGACCUUGAGAGGCUCAAGAAGAUCACGUAUAAACUCCUCCCCCUCUUGUUUUCUUUUUGCUUCAUACUGUUUGGUGGUUGAUUGAUGAUUAGGUGCUAGGUUCAACUGGUUAUGAUGUUGUUAACCAACAUCUUACACAUGCUUUAGUAGUAGCAGUAGUUGAUAUCGCAUCCAAUACUUUACAGUCUAGUUCUGGGAUUGACAUAGUGGGUUUCUGGAAGCAGAUCUCCAGACAUUAGAAUGCCUGGAAUGCGUUUAUUCAGUUGUUCUUGAUGGGCAUAGUAUUGUUCUGGUAGCAUGUACUAACUUCAUGUGCUUCAUUCUAUAUUGGUUUAUACACAGCAAUGUGGCUGGAGUUUGACCUCAAAAUUUCAGACUCUUUCUAUCCAUGUGCAACAGCGAUGCUUUGGAUUUCAUCCACGCAACAAAGGACUUCAUGGCCAACCAAGGUGCAUGGUUCUCGCAAGCGACGAAUGGAGGUUUUUCGACAUCGGCUGCACAAACCACCACUGUGAGCUCCUCCCUUUUCUAUGCUACAACCAUGCUCUGUUUGAGUCCUUGCCGACUGUUGUGUUGAUGAUCAAGUGCUGGUGCUUCAUAUGGCUAUUUGAUUUACUACUGGUAAUUAGUAGUAUUAGAGUGCCGCUAGUUUAUUAGGAUGUGGCUGAAACCAUUGGAUGGCCUUCCUGGACGUGUUAUCCAAAAUUAGUACUUGUCCCAUUUUUUGUUUCCUUGAUGGACAUGUUAUGGUUCAAGUGUCGAUGAUGUCUAGUAGUAGUUUGCUAGCUAUAUACUGCUACUGAUUGAUACGCUUGUGGUCUCAUGGAAUCAUAUAUUAUACUAUAUCUAGUGUUCUUGUGGUUCUGUGAAGAUGCAUCACAAACAUCUACGUCUUUGAAGUUGGCUGAAUCUAUUGCUUUAUCAUAUAUUUGGUCCAUAAAUCUACAUUUCUAUGAGAUCUCUUUCAAUAUAUAAAUUUUCGGUAGUCCAGGAAUAAUAGCGACUCUAAUGCUGGUAGCCUAUGUGUUCACUCUUUUACAGGAGCUCUAGUUCUAUGAAAUUUGAAGUUUGAAGCCGUAUACUCAACAGAGUUGUCUCUUAUGUGUGACUAUAAUAGACUGUAAAUAUUGUAAUAUUGUAACAGUAGGCAUAUUGUGGUUGUAAUAGAUUAUUUGAUGAACUACAUUUGUACUGUUCGGUCUGAAAUAUUGAUUAUGUAUGUGAUUUGAAAACGUGUGGAAUGGAAGCCUGGCUCGUGGGACCCACUUGUGAUAAUAAUCUGAGCAGUUUUGAAAUUUCUGUCAAGUGGGCUGAAUGUGUGAGAUGAUGACAAGUGGGACCCAUUUGAUUGGUCGGACCAGCUUCAAAAUAUAAUGGCCGAAACAAUGUUAAAAGGCCACGGCCCAGAAAUAAAUAAAAGGCCGAAUUGUUGGUCCAGGCCCAGGUAGCUAACAGAAACUGGCAAAAAAAAUAGAAUAAAUGGGCUCAUUUAAUGGGCUAAUUGGACCGGGCUGAUUCUUGUCAACGACCUUUUCAUUUGGUCGCAAUUUUGCCAUGUUAGCUUGCCACGUCGGAUCCGACGUGGCCUGGGCAGACAGCUAGUGACCAAAACAAAAGGUCGUUAGUUCAAUGAUCUUUUGUUUUGGUCGUAAAUGUCUACAACCUUCUCAUAGAGAAGGUCGUUAAUUUCAUUUUAUGACGGUCAGCUUUUGACCAUCUGUUUUUAGUCACAAAAAGGUCAAAAAUGGAAAAUAAUAACCACUCAGUGACCAAUAGUCAAGGUCACAAGUUGACAUAUUUCUUGUAGGGGCACCUCCUGGCUGCCUCCCCUCUUCCCCCCACCUAUAUAUAUAUAUAUAUAUAUAUAUAUAUAUAUAUAUAUAUAUAUAUAUAUAUAUAUAUGGGAGGGGGUGCCACACAAGACCUACAAAAUUGUCUUAGCCGUCUGAGGUGCCCCUCUCCACAAUUUUGUCUCUCGGUCAUGUUUUCGGAGUGCUUAGGCAAAGCCCUGCAGAGAUAGCUUCACCAUCACUGUCACCAUGCCGUCGUGCUGCGGAAAUCAUCUACCACUUCGCCCGUCUUGCUGAUUCAAGAAGGCGAGGACGUCACCGAGCUGAAAGUGUGCUGAACGCGGAGGUGACGUAUGUUCGGUACUUGAUCGGUUGGAUCACGAAGAAGUUCGACUACAUCAACCGCGUUGAUAAACGCUUCCUCUUACGGUCUACGGGGGUACGUAGACACACUCUUCCCUCCCGUUGCUAUGCAUAUCCAUGGAUAGAUCUUGCCCGUGUGUAUUUUUUUUCAUGCAACGUUCCCUAACACACGGAGAUAUACAAUAGCAUUUAUUAUUGCCUCUAGGGCAUAUCUCCUACAACAACUACUUCAUAGCUUUUACAGAGAAUACCUUGCUGAAAACUGCUUCCUGAUUCCUUCUACCCCAUGUUGGGUUUGAUACUCUUACUUAUUGAAAAGACUAUGAUUGAUCCCUAUACUUGUCGGACAUCAGUAUGGUGAAAGGGAAAUAAAUAAUUUCUUUUCUGUUUGGGAAUCGCCUCAAAUUUGUUUAGCAUGAAAGAUAUUGGAUAGUCUAACCUAACGAGUGAGUGGAAAAACUUACCUCUCAAAAUACAGUUAUCUAUGUUUUAAAGAUAUUGGAUAGUCUAACCUAAGGAGCUCUGGCACCGCUGUAAAUCUCUACUUCACUCCGUGAAUAUCCUAUCAUUUUAAUUUGAUUUUUUAGUCACCGCCUUCUCAUUCAAGCACCAACUUCGAGAGCGCUAUUUUCAUUCUUAGUGUAACAUGCAUUUGGUUUAAUUAAUGUUAGAGUAUAGCAUGAAUGGAUGUCUUCUAUCACUACUAGGAAAAUGUUUUUAACGACGGUAUAUGUGGUUGUUAAAAGUCGAGAAGUGGUCAUUAUAGGUCGUUAAUGAUCACAAUAUGUUGGUCGUAAUAGGAUUCAUUGUUAAAGUAUAACGACCACAUACCUUUUGUGGUCGUUAUUCUUGUAACGACGGGAUGAUGUGUCGUAAUCAAUCCCGAGGCAAUAACGACGUCCACUUUUUUCAUUCAUAAUAAUAUUCUCAUGAUGGCAAAAAUAUCAUUAAUGACUAAUUUUUAAUAUUUACAAUCACUCUCUUCAUUUUUAUAUACUUCAGAAAGACUUAUAUUUGGUAUACAUUUCCAUUCAUGGUCACUUUAUGUAGCAUCCAACAUUUGAAUAUUAACAUCCACAUGUAGAAACAAAAGAAUCUGAAUUGAAAGGGCAUCGCUUCUUUUAUUAAUAGAAAUAAGAUAAAGUAACAACAUUUUGACCUACAAUCAUGUAACUAAAAUAUCCUUCAAGAAAUUCGACUGAAAAGCACUCAUUAUAUGACCAAUGUAGUUGCCCAUAUCUAACCGGAAACUGGGAUAACUAUCAAAGAUAAUAUUUAUUUUUGAGGGCUCAAAGAUAAUAUUUAUUAAUCUUCAAUUGUGGGACACCAUCGUUGUUUGUAAUUAUAUAAUUGUUUAUUUGUGGUUACAAUGCCUCCUGGUGCUUCUAUAUAUUAUGAUGGACAAUUGGUCUUACAAAACAUUGAGUAAUUUAUGAAUGAAUGUCCAUGUAAAUAAAUAAGCACAAAGUACAAAAUCAUAUAAAAUCAAUGCAUGAGAACAACUUACAUGAUCAUGCUGGCUUUCAUGAGAACCAUAACUUAAAUUUAAAUUAAGUCUUACAUUUUUGAUGGAGGCUCUAGAAUUAGCCCAGGCUACACCCUUCUUGCGAGUCCCGGAAAAUAGUUUAUCCACACUUGGUGCCUUGUUUUCCUCUACUCCUUGUUCUAACAGAGGCAAAGCGACUAUUAUUAGUUGAAAUAAAAUGGAAAGACACGUCACACUAGGGUUAUAUUAUUGGAAAUUAAAAAUGACAAGAGAAGUUAUACAAUGUACGAGGUUCCAAAUUAUAUGUCUAAACUGUUUACGGCUAGAUUGAUGAAUUAUUUUGAGGUUGGCUCUGUUUUGGGUGCUUCCCACACUUUUUUCUGUAGUUAUAAAGGAUUAAAUUCUCAAGCACGCAAAUGGUUGAAAAUUAAGAAACAACAUGAGAAUUUACCACUCAGUCUGUCAAAGGUGCUCAUAGCAGUAGGGUGUGCAUGUGUGCGUUUAUAGGAUGAAUGUAUGUGUUUAUGUAUGGGCGCUUGCGUCUGUACUAUGUUAAGAAAAACAUGGGAAUUUACCCCAAAAAAAUCCUUGCCGAAGAAAUGCUCCAUGAUAAGCCAUUUCCAAAUAUCCUUUGGGACAUGUUAAGUACCUUUUUCAUAGUCUCCAGCAGUCGUCUUGGGUUGCACAAAAUUUCAGUGCAAGUCUCCACACCAGUUGAUCCAAAGCUUUUUAACAUGGGCUAAUAUCUCAUUUUUGUACAUGUCAAUUGCAAUGUUCUCAUCAAUGUUUUCUAGCUUGUCCUGAAUGGGUGUUCAUAAAAUAGAAUAGCAUAAGUACGACAAUACAUAAAUUCAUAUUAUAAUGUUGGAGCCUUUAAUACCUCUAACGAUGGAUUAUUGGAAGGUUACAUUCGGACACCGGAAUGGUUUUGGGAAGUUUCGGAUGUUUUUCGGAGUACCGGGAGGUUACGGAACCCCCCGGGGAAGUAAUGGGCCAACAUGUGCCAUAGGGGAGAGAGAGGGGAGCCCACAAGGGGUGGCGCGCACCCCCCAUAUAGGAUGUCCGAAUUGGACAAGGGGAUGGGGCGCGGCCCCACUUUCCUUUCCCCCUCUCCCUCUCCUUCCCUCUUUCCACCUGCAUGAGAAGGAAAAAGAGGGGGGCCGAAUCCUACUAGGAGUGGAGUCCUAGUAGGACUCUCCCCCUUGGCGCGCCCCCUUGGUGGCCGGUCUCUUCCUCUCCUCCUNNNNNNNNNNNNNNNNNNNNNNNNNNNNNNNNNNNNNNNNNNNNNNNNNNNNNNNNNNNNNNNNNNNNNNNNNNNNNNNNNNNNNNNNNNNNNNNNNNNNNNNNNNNNNNNNNNNNNNNNNNNNNNNNNNNNNNNNNNNNNNNNNNNNNNNNNNNNNNNNNNNNNNNNNNNNNNNNNNNNNNNNNNNNNNNNNNNNNNNNNNNNNNNNNNNNNNNNNNNNNNNNNNNNNNNNNNNNNNNNNNNNNNNNNNNNNNNNNNNNNNNNNNNNNNGCACCCCAAAGGCACACCAAUUGUUUAGCCGUGUGCGGUGCCCCCCUCCACCGUUUACUCCUCCGGUCAUAUCGUUGUAGUGCUUAGGAGAAGCCCUGCACGGAUCACUUCACCAACACCGUCAUCAUGCCGUCGUGCUGACGUAACACAUCAAAUCCAUCGACACUCUGCUGGAUCAAGAGUUUGAGGGACGUCAUCGAGCUAAACGUGUGCAGAACUCGGAGGUGCCCACUACUAGAGAAAAGCUUAAUAGUGGCACUGGUUUUUUUACAUACCAGUAGCGCGGGCACCCGAGCUACUGCUAGGGCGCUACAACUAUUAUUUAACAAUAGCGCGUUUCUGAACAAGCGCUGCAGCUAAAAUACUUAUUAGUAACGUUGCUUCCUCCACCAGCGCUACUACUAUCAUCAUGUAGUAGUAGCGCCCUAUUUUCUCCCCACUCUACAACUAGGCAAAUAGAAAUAAAAAAUAAAAAAGCAGUCAAGUGCAAUAUACAUGGAAAUUAAGACAAGUCCAGUGCAAAUAAACUAAGUUCAUAGAACCAUCUCACAAACAUUAACGACAGUACCACAUUUAAUAUAACCACACAAUCUCACAAACUCAUAUAGUAGUGAACAAUGCAUGGAUAGAUCAUAUUUGAUAAGUCUACUAGGUAGUCAUACUAGCAUAUAUAUGGUUCAACAGCCACACGGAUGCAUAUGAAGUUCUAGAUGAUGUCGAUGAAGACCAUCAUCGUCAAGCCUGGGCGGUGGGUGUUCCUGAUAGUAAUUAGGAUUGCCUGUCCAACAUGAAGAUUCUUGCCGACGAGGAAGCUCUUCCACCCAACCGAGUUGAAGUGUGUGCGAUCGUCCGUGUCCACGCUGUACGCACAAGUGGUGACGGAACCCCUUGCGGUAAGGCGUAUUCCAGCAGAGCCUUCUUCAUUAGGCUUGAUACCACAACUCUCAGAUAGGCUCUUUGCCAAUUUCUGAAUAAGAAAAACAUAUCAAUUAAUAAGUAGCCUCACACAUUCUACACGAAGCAUAUAUAUCAUCGGACUCUACACUAAGCAUAUAUAUUAUCGGACUCUACACUAAGUAUAUAUAUCAUCGGACUCUACACUAAGUAUAACAAUAAAGCAUAUAAGAUUCACUACGCAUAUAUAUGAUCGGACUCUACACUAAAGUAUAACAAUAAAGCAUAUAAGAUUCACUAUGCAUAUAUAUCAUCGGACUCUACACUAAGUAUAUAUAUCACCGGACUCUACACUAAGUAUAACAAUAAAGCAUAUAAGAUUCACUAAGCAUGUAAGAUUAACUAAGCAUAUAAGAUUAACUAAGCAUAUAUAUCAUCGGAUUCUACACUAAGUAUAACAAUAAAGCAUAUAAGAUUCACUAAGCAUAGAUUCACUAAGCAUAUAAGAUUUAGUAAGCAUAUAAGAUUCACUAAGCAUAUAUAUCAUCGGACUCUACACUAAAGUAUAACAAUAAAGCAUAUAAGAUUCACUAAGCAUAUAAGAUUCAGUAAGCAUAUAAGAUUCACUAAGCAUAUAUAUCAUCCGACUCUACACUAAAGUAUAACAAUAAAGCAUAUAAGAUUCACUAUGCAUAUAUAUGAUCGGACUCUACACUAAGUAUAACAAUAAAGAAUAUCAUCAAAUUACUCUAAAAACUACAGUAAAUGCAACAUACCAUCAUAUGCCGAUCAACCAUGGUACUUGUCAGGCGGGUCACGAAUGGCACCCUGACGAAGUCAGCACGUGGCGGAAUGAUAUCCCAUAGGUUGCACACCUCCUCCUCGCUCAACUUCAUUCUUUGAGCUACGAUGGCAUCACCGAGUGGGUCGUCAUCAUCCUCAUCAUCCUCAUCAUCCUCAUAAUCUUCUGCUUUGUUGAUAUAAAUCACGGCCAGCUUGGGUCUUUUAGUUCUGAAGGAGAAACUGAUCAACUCACCACCGGUGAUACGUAUGUUGUCGAUGAAAUGGACCCAUCCAUCUCCUCCCACCCGCGUCAUCUUUCGUCAUUUCUCAAUCUCCAUAGUGUAGGGGGCCCCAGGAGCCUCAAAUGUCACAGAGUCUCCAGUCAGAUUGUUGAAUUCUGACCUCACAUUGCAUGGGACGAUCUAUGUACAAAAAUCAAAAUGAUAUAUACACGAUGCAUUAAUGCCAAUAACACUAAAAACAAAAUAGUAGUUACUAGUUUCAUAUAAUUUAUUACCGCCGCAUGAAGAAAACUAGACUCGACGUAGAUGCCAAACAGCGUGCCAGUUGCAAGCCUGCUGGCGCACCUUGACUUGCACCGUCGACAUGGUGGUGGUGAUGGUGGUGGUGGCGCCAUUUCCCUAAAGCAAUAUGAUUAAAGGAUUAACAAUCCAAAAAGUAAACAUAAAGUUUUCAUAGUUAGAGUUCACAUGGCAAGCAAAAUAACAACUAAAAAGUAAACAUAAAGUUCAGUCCAACAAUCACAAAUUGCAAAAGUAGAGUGAUUGUAUGAUAAAACACAAGAGUUUCAUGUGCACCUCAAAUCUGUGUCAAACAUAUUCUGUCGCGGACUCAAACAAAAUUAGAAUCCUGUCAGCAAAUUGCCAACGAAGCAUACCAAGAAAGCUAGCAAUCUAGUAAACUAAUGUCCUCAACUCUUCAGAUGAAGCGUCGCUAUCAGCAUGAAAUUUGCACUAAACACAAGGUUAAACAAUACCAGUAGCUCAAUAAUCUAGAGAUGUAACAAACAAAUAUAUGGCAAAACAUAACAAUACUUUGAUCUCAUCUCAUCUUCAUUAAUCACAACAAAGCACACUAAAUAAACUACCCCCUUCUCAUAUUAGUAAUCCUAAAUCUUGAUGAUUUCUGAGUAUAGCACUUACAAAUUAACUAUUUUUCUAUGAUAGGAACAUGAGCUUGUAGCUUUGUCUCUCACAUGAACAACACCUAGUGGCCAAGCCCAUACUUUUUUGGCCAUGAACAUCACCUCAAAAAAAUCUACAUUUUUUAACCAAACCGAACACUAACCCAUCUGACCAUCAAUAUUCAUUAGGGUUAAUUUGAGAAACAACAUGGCGAGCCGCCACGGAAAAUCGAUUGGAGCCCCUAUGAUGAACCCUAACCAAGAGAUCGAGAGGAGCUACUAUGGCGCGCACAGGGAGGAGGAGAUCGAGAGGGGGACUUACGGGGCUGGAGCGUCGGAGGAGGCAAGAGGCGACCGCGCGUGGUGGCGGCGCACGACACCGUCGACGGGGGUAAGGCGACCAGGGACGAACCCUAACAGCGGCGUCAUCGUCGUCGGGCGGAGGGGAUCGAUUGUGAGAGGAGAGGGUGCGGGGGCGCUUGAUCGGGCCGGUUUUCUUUAGCUAUAGUAGUAGCGCUGGCUGGAGCACCACGGUACUGCGAAGCCCACCAGCUGUAACGCCCUUUCAUAACAAACGCUACAGCUAAGUGGGCUACUGAUUCUGCCCUGCGGCCCAUGUAAAAGUAGCGCGGCCCAAGCAAACAAACGCUGCUGUUAUAUGUUAGUAGUAGCGUAUUUUAUACACAGCGCUACUGGUAAUUACUAGUAACGUGGGGUCACAAAAACUCGCUACUGUUAAACUUCUAUCUAUAAGCAUUUUCCUAGUAGUGGCCGUACGUUCGGUACUUUAUCGAUUGAUGCGAGGAGACGUUCGACUACAUCAACCAUGUUAAGUUAACGCUUCCUCUUUCGGUCUACGAGUGUACGUGGACACACUCUCCCCUCUCGUUGCUAUGCAUCUCCUAGAUAGAACUUGCGUGAGUGUAGGAUUUUUUUUUGAAAUUGCAUGCUACAUUUCCCAACAACCCGGUACCAAUCCUGCUGAUUACCUGACCGAUGAUAUAGAGUUUGAAACAAUGGAGGUGGACGAAUUCAGAAUCCAGGACGGGCAGCCUCUCAUCAAACCUGAUCAUCCUCCUCCUCUAACAACGAUGAUGUGAAGACUCCAUGAAUGGUACAUGGAAAGAUGCCACAAGUCUGGGAAGCAUACUUUGACAAUGAGAAUUAAAGAGGAGCAUGACCUCAUUGGAAUGGAUAUUUUGAAUGUUGAGUUUGACGAAUUAUUCCAGUUAUACAAUCAAAAGGCCCUCGACAAAACACUCGUGACUUGCUAUUGUCUGUAAGUACUACUUCUGUAAUAAUUAAGUCUCUAUAUAUAGCUCAGCUCUUUCAUUGCAUGUAUAUAUAAUUAUCCUCACUAUAUUAUGCAGGUUGAAGACCGUCGAAUGCAGAAAAGCAGAUAUUAUGACAUUGGUUUCAUUAACCCAAAUAUCAUACAUGAAUGGACGGUCAAACACAAUGUUGCAGAAAUCGAGGACAACUUGCUACAAUCAUUGCUUAAAAAACAAAGCAAAGAUAAAAUACUCUUUCCUUACAACUUCCACUGAGUGUUACUGUCUUGUGUAUAUUCGGUUUCCCUUACUUGAGGUUAAUUAUCAUAUUGUAAUUGAUGAGUUAUGCAUGCAGGUGCAGAUUCGACUUUAUCUUGAUAGAGAUUAAGCUUGAAGAUGGAAUAGUAACUGUCUUAGACUCGAGAAGAAAAGAUCCCCAGGAGUAUGUGGACAUGACUGAUAUGCUUCAGAAGUAAGUUCGAUCGAUCAUUAUCGCACCAUGUCGGCAACUUUGUUCAUUUCCUGAUAUCAAAUAAUUAUUCUCUUUGUCUGGCAGGGUUUGGAAAGACUUCACCGUAAUUACGCUGGGACUGCCAACGGAGCUGCAAUUUAAACACCCGAAAGUAAGUACUAUUAGCUAGUUCUGUGCAUCUCCCAUUGAUUCUAGCUAGUUUCAUCAAUACCAUUUAGCAUACUUGAUUAUCAGUUUGAUUGAACUCUAUUUCUCGUUAAGUGCUUGUGGCAGGAAGCCGGAAAUGAUUUUUGUGGAUACAACGUUUGCGAGUUCAUCUACAACUCGACGACCUCUAAGCGGGACUACUCUGAAAAACAAUAUGAUGUACGUAAACAAAAGAAUUCACAAUUUUAUUUUAUUACCAUAAUUUGUGUUGAAUUUCAUUCAUAUAUAUGUAUUGACCCACUUCUUUAAAUUAGAUGUGGCAGAUGCGGGAUGAACUCCUAGGACAUGAUCGCAUACGAGCUAUUCAAGAGGAAUUGGCGGGAUUCUUUCUUGAUCACGUCAUAAAUAAAGCCGGAGAAUACCAUGUAGAAGUUCAAAUAGACCUUAGAUGAUAGGGUUUGUAAGAGAUCUUAUAUUGUAUAUAUGUAGCUAGUAGCGUUGGAUAGAUAUACGAAAACUUGUUGUUCGACCAAUCUCUCGGAGAAUGAGAGGCCACUUCUCUCUGUAUAUGUUCAUGACGAUCUUGUGUACUUAAUGGUUCCUUCAUUUGCUUACUAGCCAGUGUGUCGAGUUCUUUCUAUACGCAUAGUAGCUAGCGCCGACCAAGCACGGAGAUAAAGAGAGGUCACUUCUCUCUAUUAGCUAGCUAACACAAUAUAUGAAACCCCUAAAUUAACCCUCCUAAAUCCCGGCCCCUACCCCCCCCCCCCUUAAAAAACAAAAACCGCGGCUCCUGCCAUAUGCUGAUGCGUGGAUGCCUUUUGGUCCUGAUUAAUAUUACCAACCGGGACUAAAGAUCCUCCUGCAUGGGCGCCCCGCAGCGGCCACAUGGAGCCCUUUCUGUCCUGGUUCAUAAGCGAACCGGGACUAAAGGUUUUGGACUUUAGUCCCGGUUCAGAAACGGGGCUAAUGGGCCUUUUGAACCGGGACAAAUGACACGUUUUCUACUAGUGAUCAUUGGGAGGAAAAAACCGAGGGAGAAGGAGGGAGGAGGUGACGAGAUGGUACCAACUCCCCUUUAAUAUUAGGCACUAGUAGACUACCCGUGCGUUUCCAAGGGCCAACAAAUAAAUUUGCAAAAAAUGCUCAUAUUACUCUCCCCAAAUGAAAACAUUGCACGCAAUGUUCUACCACAACUCAAAGGCAAGUAUCUUCUUUCUAUUCCAACAAAUGGCAUGCACCCCUUUAGCCUCUUUUUUAUGUUGAAGGUGUUUUCCCUAGCCCUCUUUGUCCAUACAUCAACCAUCCUCUCAAUCUAUUGCCCCUUGACUCUGCAUGUUGCUUCUAUGUCGUUGUUUUGUUGUCUCUCUCUACUACGUAUGUCGUGCAACGUGGAACAUGGUCAACAAAUGAUGAGAUACAAGGCACCUCACCUUAGUACAAAUCAUAAGAAAAUGUGGCAUAUGAAGAUGAAAUCCUUAUCUCCACCACAUGUUCAUUCACAAACUAAUAAUGCUAUAUUUAUCUCUAGGCUAUGCUUCCAUCUCCACCUAAGAUGCAUCACCGUCACUUUAUCUCACCAAUACUUAUUUUCCUAUGGACCUCAAAUAUACAUACAAGAAUCGCACGACAAGGUUGCAUCAUUGUCAUUCCAUCUCUUCUUUCACUUAAGAUCUUUUGGUCAUUGCAACACUAGUAUGCUCCGUUGUCACCCUGCUCUGAAUCUGCCCGUGUUUCCAUCGAGCUCCAAAUACAGCCAUUUUUUCUCCAAGUCUUUCAUGUCGUAUCAAGUUUGUACUUUCAGCCUCAGAAUUUUCAUUGUUCGGAAUGAGGAGGGUUUUCAUAGUUCACUUCUCUGAGAGAACACAAAGCAAAUUGAUACAGAUUAGUGAUGAAUAAAAAUUUCUUUGUGCUAUUUAUAAUGAUGAAUACCAACAUAUGCUAAGUUAUUCAAUGGACUAGCUACAUUGUUGUGUUUGAAAAAAUAAGUCUAACAUGUGUAUAUUGAAGCAAAUCCCUGAAUUAGCAAACGCAAGAGGAAAAGAUGACUAGUCCCUCUAGACGAAUGCACGGGGCAUCCAUAGGUUCCUAGAUCAUCAAGUUGACCAACACAUUAUGCAACACAAAAACUAUGUGUUUAGGAAUUUUAUCCCAAUACAAAUUCAGCGUCUAUUGCCUGCACCUUAGUCGCUCAAAUCGUUGCCCCCCUUAUAAUGGGCCUUGCUAAUAAGCUAGGUUAUGGGUCCUUCCUCUUCAACCUGCUCACAAGGAGAGCUUUCUCUCUAUUUAUAUAGGUGUUAGUUAGUUUGCUAGCUAUCGUCUAGGGAUUCAUCACGAUUAGAGGACCUUGUGAUUUAAGGGGAAUGUGUCUCCCUAUAACCGCAAGAACCUUAACAUAGUGUGUUCGUCCUUAUAUCCUCUCGGAUUCCCACUUGGGUGUAGUGGGACAUGGGACCCGAGAUUCUCGGAACUCGUUCUUAAGAAGAAAAGGGUUGAAUUGCCCGCAACAUGUCCCUCGUGCAAUCAGAUACUCAUGCUCACCGACAUAGUUUAUAAGGACAUGACAUUAAAAUUUAGAAACUAUACAUGCAUUUAGUAUGUAUCGUCCCACCUCCUCUCUCCCUUUCGGCAAUUUCGGCGGCAGCCGGAGGAGAGGGGACCCAUAGCUUCAUACUAAUUUAGUUCAAGUUCUAGUAGGUUGUAGAUUCCUCUUUGUUUUGGUUACCUCAUUACCCCGGAGGGCGGCUCCAGCGCACAAGUGCCACGAUGCGUUUUGGCGGAUGGAACGUGUUGCCGGCGGUCGGAUGUCGCCGGGUCAUCGGCAGAUACAGCGACGUGGUGGCAUGAUGGCCGAGCUGAAGGGGCACCGGCCUUGGCACGGCAAGAGUCGCCAUAGCCGGCCCGCGACCAGCAAGGAGAGGCUGCGUUUAGCUUAGCUAGAGAGGUGAUCAGGAGGAACAGAGAUAAGAGAGUCGAUCAGGAGGAGAGGUUUACAGAUCGAGAUUCUCAUGCAUUAAUCUACUCUGUAUAUAUGGACAUGUUUACGAAACAAGAAGGUAGAGAAAGGACUCAGCUUGCAAGCCACGCGCUUGAAUCCGAUCGAUUGUGAUCAAGGAUAGGUUUACGAAAUGAGGUCGACCAAGGAUCGGAAAACUAAGGGCCAACUCCACCGCGCGACCCCAUCCUGUCCGCGCGCGUCCGUUUAGGGUAAAACGGACGAACCGGACGGCUCUGUGCGCGAGAGCAAACGGACUUUUGUCAGUUUUGUGUCCGCUUUCGACCCAUCCCCGGCCCAAGUUUGCGGCGUUUUUUGGGUGAAACGGACACCUUUUCUAUCCGCCCCCCUCCCUCCCUCCGGCCGCAUCCCCUCCGCUCUUCUCCACUCUUCCCCACUCUUCCCCUCGCCGCCGCCGUCGUCGCUGCCAUUGCAGCCGUGCAGCUCGGACGCGCGCUCACCCAGCCCCUUCCCCUCGGUGCCGCCGAGCUACCCAACCACGGCCACCUAAUUUGUGCACCCGCCGGCCGGAUUCGGGGCAGAUCCGGUUGGUCUUGAGCUCGCCCGGCUGUGGGAUGCCGCGUCGCGCAAUGGACUGGCCAGGCACCUCGCCGGAAGGCCCUGGCAGGGCCGCAAGGCCACAUGCAGGCAGUGGCUCCUCCUCUAGCAGCUCGGAUCUACACCGUCAGUGGUCCGCCGACAGAUACACGAAUGGCGGUCGGCCGGGCUCGGUGCUUGCCCAAAAGCUCGUCGGCGCAUUGUUGCCGCUCAUUAAGUCCGACUACUGCCCAAAGAAGAUCGUGCGCCGCGUGUCUACAACGCCGGAACAUCCCGGAUGGGUAUUCAUCAAGUGCUUAAACGAUGUGGUAUGUGCUCUUUUUAGCUUCGGUUUGUGCUCUAGAUUUGACUAGUUGUGCUAACUUACAAUUUUAUUGUAUAGCAUGGAUGCAAGUUUUGGUAUUGGAAAGAAGAGUACAUCGAUAUAUUGAUAGAGCGCAAUUUAGUAGAUGUUCGUGCAUUUUUAGCUAGCAUAGAGGUUGUAGAUGAGGUAAGUGCACUUGUUGCUAGAUUAGAGGCUAGACACGAGACUAGGUGUGAGGAAGCAACAUCGACUUCUUUAGACUCGAAGAAGAAAGAAGCAUGCAUGAUCAAGCCUCCUCCGUCGAUCAACAAUGAGUGCAUCAAGAAGGCACUAAUCCAACUUACAGGAGCAGUUAUAGAAGUUGGAUAUCUUCUAAAUUGUAUUCUUGUGGUUCUUCUUUUCUUUGGUCUUACUUUUCUAGUCAAAAUUUGGUGAUGUAUUUCCAUAUACCAAAAGUGAAUGAUGAAAAGAAGUUAAGGGCUUGCAAAGAAAAAUGUAUGCGGACAGGAUGCGUCCGCACGCUGGGCGCACGGUCACUGUAUCCCAGAAACUGCCUGGACAUGACUCCAUUGCCCUACCCAAACGGACAGAAUCCGGGCAAAACAGACGUCCGUUUUGGAUCGCGUGGUGGAGUUGGCCUAACAUGUAGCAAAUUCGGACAUGCAUGCAUGCAUUUUACUCCUAGCUUGCUCCGACUCACUGCCGUAAAACUAACAUGUAGUAGCGAAUUCGGGCAUGCAUGCAUACAUUUAACCCACGUGUGCAAUCCUUGCCAAAGGGCAUCUCUAACAUUGAUCUGUAAAUUUGCUUUCGCAUCCAUUAGGUUGACCAUGGACACGGUUGCGUGAGACGGUCAUGCAACACCGCCCGCAUACAUUACAAAAUUUAUGCAAACAUGAUGGAUUUUCAUAUAAAUCGAACGAAAUUUAUUACAAUUCCAACAUUUUUCAUUAAAAAAGCCAUUGAAACCUACACACUAGUAGAAAAAGGGCCUAUUGUCCCGGUUGGUAAGGGCUUUUAGUCCCGGUUGGUGAACCAGGACUAAAGGGUCGGUACUAAUGCCUCCCCCCUUUAGUCCUGGUUCAAUCCAGAACCGGGACUAAAGGCCGCGGCCACGUGGAGCCUUUAACAAUCCACCUUUAGUCCCGGUUUGUAACACCAACCGGGACUAAUGGAAAUUUUAUGAUUUUUUUUUUUGAAAUUUUUUUUUGAAAUUUUUUAUUUUCAAAUUUCUGAAUUAUUUUAACCCCUCAUUAGUGAAUCUCUAAUCAGCACCCCUCAUCACUGCUCAAUUUAUCCUCUUCUCUAAUCACCCUCAUCAUUCCAAAUCACCUAACUUCCCGAACGGUCACCCAUCCUCCCACUCACCCAGCCUGAGCACGCUUAACUUCCAGGUUCUAUUAUCCCUCGUUUCCAAGUCUGCACUUGUUAUUUUCCUGACAAUAGUAACAUGUUAAUCCUAUUAACCCUCAGGAAUUUUGCUUGAGAAUGAAUUGACACAUUUCACUGUUUGAGUUUCAAACUAUUGUUUUCAAAAACAAUAAUUAUUUAGAAAACAAUAGUUAUUUUGAAUAAUUAGUUUGACCAGGGUUUGACCAUAGUUUGACCACAGUUUGACUACAGUUUGACCAGAUUUGACCAAAAUUCAAAAUAACUGAACAAAUUAGUUAUUAACACUAAUAUUCUAGAAUAAUUAGUUUGACCAUGGUUUGACCAUGGUUUGACCACAGUUUGUCAUUUUUCCGAUUUUUUCCACUCUAGAUAUUAAAAGCCCCGUAACUUUUUUUCUGUUAGGUUUUUGAGGAUUUUGAAAAUGUUUAACUUUUUUUCUGUUAAAUUUGGUUGUAACUUUUCGAGUAGAUGAUUUUUCAUAUAAAAAACUUUUUCAUCCGAGUUAGUAUGCAAAAGUUAUGCCCAUAUUUACAAAUUCCACAGAGAUUUUGCAAAUAAAGUCGAAAUUCACAUUUGCAAAUUUCCGCAACAACUAGACCACAUAUCACAUGGGAAACUUAUUUUCUUUUAUUUUUUUGACAUUUCCAUCAUUUUCUUUUAUUUUUUUUNNNNNNNNNNNNNNNNNNNNNNNNNNNNNNNNNNNNNNNNNNNNNNNNNNNNNNNNNNNNNNNNNNNNNNNNNNNNNNNNNNNNNNNNNNNNNNNNNNNNNNNNNNNNNNNNNNNNNNNNNNNNNNNNNNNNNNNNNNNNNNNNNNNNNNNNNNNNNNNNNNNNNNNNNNNNNNNNNNNNNNNNNNNNNNNNNNNNNNNNNNNNNNNNNNNNNNNNNNNNNNNNNNNNNNNNNNNNNNNNNNNNNNNNNNGGGGGGGUAGAGUUUGAAAAUGGGACCUUUAGUACCGGUUCGUGGCACGAACCGGGACUAAAGGUCUCAACCCCAUUAGUCCCGGUUCGUGCCUCAAACCGGGACUAAAGGUCUACUCUUUAGUCCCGGUUUGAGGCAUGAACCGGGACUAAUGGGCAUCGCACCCUUUAGUCCCGGUUUGAGGCACAAACCGGGACUAAAGGGCACAGGUGAACCGGGACUAAUGCCUUAGCCGCACGAACCGGGAUAAAUGCUCACAUUAGUCCCGGUUCUGGAUUGAACCGGGACUAAUGGGCUAAACAGGCCUGGACGAAAGCUCUGUUUUCUACUAGUGACACCUAUAUCCUACGUCGGUGCCCCUUGUCCACUUCUUUUGUAUUCCACAUAGGUGACCGCGUCCUCCAUCUAUCGUCUUCAUGAACAGUGGCGGGGUUCAAGACCCGUGAAGUGGUGGUGCAGUCUCCGGUGAGGAAGAGUAGAAAAUGGGAGACGGAUCGACACAAUUGGGACACAAUGUCAUGCCGCCUCAAAUGCUCUACUCAGACACAGAGAAGUCUAUGACAUGUCUGUCGCGGGCACCUGUGGACCUGAGGUCGAUGAUGGACAUGGAAGGUCCGUCAAUGUCCACCUGUCACAUGCGCCCCCGAAAGUUGGACGGCGGCACGUAGGACGCGCAGCUGGCGGCGAUGGAGUCUUGGACCACCUACGCUGCCAGCACGUGUGCGGCCCCGUCCGCAUCCGGCUGCUCCGGCUCUAUGUUGCAACCAGCAACUUGAGCACCCUCGGCCCUCAUAGAGCGCCCCCUGCUCCGCAAUGAAGUUUGCGUUCGCCGUAGCCAUGGCAGCCAUGGCUGCCUCGCUUGAGCGCUUGUCGUAUGGACCUACGCCGGUCGAUGCUGCACGAGGAGGGACAUGUUGUACCUCUGCUCCUCCUGCGCCUGCCAGAACACCGACAUAGGAGUCGAUGCAGGCUGCUCCUCCUACGCCAUGGCGGCGUCCUAGUGCGCCCGCACCAGCUCCAUGGUCUAGCCGGCAUGCAUUGGCGCGGGCUCCGGUGUUGUGUUAUCGUCAGAUCCCGUAGGCUCAUCGUGGGAGACCUCGGGCGAACUUGGCGGCAUACCGUACUCGAUCUGCCUAGCGCGGCGCAUCUGCCAGGCGGCUGCAAGGGCAGUCACCUUGUGCUUCUGCUCCGAUGACAGUCUCCCCCACAUCGCGCUAGAGCUUGUGGUCAUCGUGGACGCGGUGCAAGGGAGGACGAUGUGGAGCGGAAGUAGUGCGGUGUGGAAUUUAGCCGAGUGUGACCCUCUUUAAAUAGUGGAUUCCAGUCAGGCCAAGCAUCUGGGUGCAUCAAUGCACGGCAUCGGAGUUGGUUCCUUGGCCGGCGAGCCAGCUUAAUGGCAACAUAUGAACAGGCGGGCAUUGGACGGGCGUGGUAGAUAUCCGCCCUGUCUUGUACAACAAACAUCGCUCCGACAUUGAACAGGCGCAAACCCACUUCAAUGUUGGUGCCAGCGGAAGGUCGCGUCCACUGUGGGUCGGCGACAUUGCAGAGCGCCGCUCUACAGCGGCAUGAAUUCAGGCAGUUGGCGCCGGAUGGAAACACACGCGAGCGAGGGAGGACGGUUUUGUGUGAGCCAGGGUAGUAAGGAGCGGGCGUGCCAGUGGUCCGGAAGACCCCCCCCCCCCGUCCAGUUCACGGAAAAAAGUGCGCCCGGACUGAUCCGUGGACCGAUACAGAACCGCGUUGAAUGGCAUAAUACGUCUGUACCGUGCGGUCUAGAUGUUUGCAGGCAGCUUGAUGGUGGGCGUUGAAGAUGCCCUAAACCCACAUAGGGCUGGACCAAAAGUUGGUAGCUCAUGAGUUUAAUGAGAGCUCGAUAGUUCGGCUCGUUAAUUAAGCUCGGAGCUCGCUUCUUAAUGAACAGAGCCAAUCAUCGAUUUCAGCUUGUUAAGAUUAUUGAGCUUAACGAACGAGCUAUCGAGUUUCAUGAGUAGCUCAUUAAGCUCGUUAGUAACAACACAACACUUAUUUUUAUCGUAUGUGACAAAAAAUUUGUAGCAGCUCAGCCAAUUAUUCAAUCUAAUAUAUAUAAGAGGCAACAAAGUAGUGCAUUUUGUUUUGUAGGCACUAUAUUCCUUUUAAAAAACACAUCUACACACUCGUCGUGUAGACCAUAACACAUCAGAAUCUGUUAACGAGCACUCACGAGCUUAACGAGUUUCCAACGAAACGAGCCGAGCAGGAUUUUCUGCGCGUUAAUCUUAAUGAGCCUAACGAGCCGAGCCUUAACGAGCACGAGCUUAACGAGCCGAGGAACUCAUUAAUCCACACCUAAACCCACACAAGGGGUGCUUUCCUUGGACUUCUACAAAACUACUAACUCUUGUAUGAUUGGAACACUAUCAGAAGCACCCCAAACUAUGAGUCAUAACCAAAUUUCGCUCGACAUGCUUGAUACUCCAUUCCUUUGAUGGUAUGAAACUAUAUUAGAAUGUCCAAGAACUAUCAGGUUAUGACUAUAGGCGAAAGGGGCUGCCACAGUGGCACACAGGAGGUGGAAAGUGCUACAGCGUUAUGAGCUUAUCGCUGGUAUUAUAGGACAAAGUGCAUUAAAUGCGGGGCUUAGGUGUCCCUCCACUUUGUCGGGGACGGGGGUGAGGCCCGUCCCGUCCGUUGCCGCCACUCCUGGCUUUGACACGCGCCCUGGCCAGCGAUGCAUGCAGUGCCAUGUAGGCAGGCAGACAGCUGAGGUGGCGCGGUGGUGGAGCCUCCACAAAGGGCUGCAUGUUGCCACUCAGGUUCCUACCCAGUUGGUUGGGUUGGCAGCUGCAUGCGAACAGCAGCGACAGAGACUUGCUGGCGCGGGCCUGGCAGUGGCCCUGCUGGCGCGCCUGGCGAGGGUCUUGCCGGGUGGACCGGCAAGGAUCCUGCCGCGGCACGCCGUCGUCCCCGGCAAGGAUCUUGCCGGGGGUCUCGUGGGCUUCCUCGGCAAGAACCUUACUGAGGAUUGUUGCCUUCCUAUUCUCAUUUGAUCUUGACUGUUCUUUUUCUUUGCAAAGAUCUAUAUGCCACCAUGGGGGUGCCUCCCGAUCCCUGUCCCAAUGCGUUUCCUUAGCGUUGGUGGGCUCGAAGGUGGCUCGCUCAGCUAGUGUGGACGAGCUGCCCCGGCAAGGGUCUUGCCGGGGCCGCUGAGGCUGCCCUCGGCAAGGGUCCUUGCCGGGGCAACCUGCGUUGCCCGUGUGACCUUUGUGGCCUUGGUCCUUGAUAUUGCUUUGUUUGUCUUGUGCCUUCGGCUUCUCUCGGGCUUCCCGCUCAUGCCCUAUUUUUGUGUGGCCAUGGCAGGUGGCUCUGACUGCCCGUGCACAAGUAAAGGGGUCAAAAGCAGAGCCCCUACUUUUGUACACCGACAGGAGCCCCCGGGCCUGGUCCAUACAUAAGUGCAGAACGUUGUUGGGCCACGCCCAGAAUGGUGCGCUGGCAGUUGGGGCACAUUUUUACCGUGGUAACUGCUCCGUCCGCUACGCUUCCCCCCAUGACCUGCGUUGGAUGCGCGACGUGGGGGUCAUGCGUGCGUGACGUGGGGGGCAUGCAUAGGAUAGCGACCGCAAGCAUGUGUCAUGUCACAGUUAAUGGGAAAGGAGGCGGCCCGCGCCUUCCCCAUAAAAAGGAAUAACCGCGGGCGUGCUGCUCACUUUUCCCCUUCCCUGCGCCUUCCCCAAUCUUGAAACUGCCGCCUCCUUUCUUCCUACUCGAGCCCCCUGCUUCCGCUCAUCGUCGACGCGCUUCCGCCAUCCCCUUCACUCUGCGUCUCACAACCGCAAUGGCGCCCAAAUCUACCAAAGGAAAGGGGGUAGCCAGAGAUGCCGGCGCGGCGGAGCCGUCGGAGAGUGAGCUGGUGGCGCGAUGGGCGUAGUUCACCCUCUUUCCCUCGACGGUCGACGUGCCCGUGCUCCGGGAGUACUACAAGCUUCUGUGGGGCGUGAAGACGGGGGAAGAAACGACGGGGCAUCCAGCCACGCGCGUCGUCCCUGCCAGUGCCGGGCCCGCCCCAAACCGGUACCCUUUCUUCGUCAACCACUUCUCUUGCGGGCUUUGUCCCCCUUUCUCUGAUUUCUUCAAGGACGUCAUGCACACCUUCGUCUUCCACCUUCUGGAUUUUACCCCAAAUGUCGUGGCGUGCAUGGCCCUUUUCGCACACCUCUGCGAGGGCUUUGUCGGGGUGCAUCCCAACACGACGCUCUUCUGCCACUACUUUUCCCCUCGGAUCCAAAAGGUAGGCGCCAUCACCGGCAGCGUUGCUUGGAUCCCAAGGGCCAAGGGAGCAUACCCGUACGGUGCCAUGAAGGAGAGGUGGGAAGAGUGGCGGGGUCGGUGGUACUUUAUAGAGGAAGAGAACCUGCCGGCGUUCUACGAGGUCCGUCGGGUGCCGCCGGUCCACGGAAAGGACUGGGGCGACGUCGAUGUUGACGAUGAGAAGCUCACGAUCGCCACCACCAGGAUCCUCCGGCUUACCCAGGCCGGGCUCACCCUCGAGAUGAUCGGCACGGACUUCAUCCGCCACCGGAUCGCUCCUUUCCAUGACAAGGGGAGGCCGACCUGGCUUUUUGUGAAUGUUGCUGAUAUCAUGAGGCUCCGCCCCGGCCUUGACCAGAAUCUGACGGUGCUGAGGCACGCCCAUCUCUGCCAGCGGAUUUUCCAGCUCAAGGUGAAUGAAGAAGGCGAGGUCGAGUAGUCCGGCAAGGUGGCAAGGGCUGCCGUGAAGGCCGGCAAGGUGGACAAGGAGCCUGUCUUCAAGUUACGGGUGGGAGUGGUCCCGCUUAGCAACAACUCUUGCCGGUCGGAGAUCAUCGCCAUGAUGCUGCUUUUCAACGUACAUGGCCUUGACCCGAGCUGGGUCGCGCCUGAGGAGCUCAAGGUGCAGGAGUUCUUCAACACCUUGCACGAGGCGUACAUCACCGCCGAGCCGUGGCUCGUCCAGGACACUUCUCAGGAGGAGUUGGACUUCAUCGCCGCCAGGGUGCGGGAGGCAAGGCUCACUGAGGAGUCGGCAAAGCUUUCCGAGGAGGCCGGCAACGCUGGCGUCACAGUGGACAGCGCCGCGGUGGAGGCGGAGAAGGAGGACCUUGCCCGGUGGGCAGCGGCCGCUUGAGAGGCCAGCGGCGCCAACGCCAGGGCCCUCCUCGUCGAGGAUGCCGUUGACGGGCCUUCGGAGGAGGACGAAGAGGAGGAGCUCGCGGCCUCCGACCCUCCUGCCACUGGGAGGGGACGAAUUCUGCGGCGAGCAGGUUCUCCCUGGCCGGGACGCGCAGCUGCGACUGGCUCAGGGAGCGGCGACGCGCCAGACGAGGGCCGCGGUGACGAAGAAAAUGGCGGAGGCCGAGGCAGCAAGGAGGAAGACAUCUGCUUCCUCGUCGUCCAGGCAUGCCCAGACGCCACCGCCCUCCCCGCCUCUGGCAGAUGUUGGCGCGGGGGCCGCCUUUGACUUCGGGCCCCUCAGCCCGGAGAGAGACUCUAGGCUGCUCAGCCCGGAGAGAAAAAGGAAAGCAACAGAGGAGGAGGAAGAAAAUGAAGAGUAAGCUUCUGCUUUCCUCCCUCAUUUCUUACACUUCCGCUGACAGUGUUGCUCACUUGCCUUCAUCUUGCAUGGAUGUGGAGACGCUGGCCCAGAGGAUGAAGAGGGCCAGGACUUUGGCGAGUGGCCAGCCCCCGGCAGGCACCUCUGGCAUGCCAGUGGUGGUGUCAAGCAGCCCGGACAGCAGCCCUCGGCCCAGCCCAGAGCGUGAGUCCGUCACCCACCCUCCAUCAGCGUGCGUCAUGCGCGAUGAUUCGGUGCUAACCAUGCCGUGGAUGCAGGGGGGAGCAGCACCAAGGGGAGCCACAAAGGGCUUCUCCUAUCGUGCCACCUCCGUCAAUCACACCGCCCUGAGGGGCGUCCCCGGCAAGGGCACCAAGCCCAGAGGCCAUGCACAUGGAGGAGGGGGAGGAGAACACAGGCGCCGGACCUUGGCGGAGAAGGGGCUUCCGCCUCUCGGCCUGGGGCGGGUAAGCCAUUUGCUCUCCGUCUCCACAUGCAUCUUUUCUUCUUUUGCUCUCUUUUUUUUCUUUGCUUUGAUGUCGAUUUUGUCUUGUUUCCUUCUUGGCAUCCAGAUUUCUCCUCGGUGGAUCCAGAGGACGUUGACACCGUGGUCAAGGACGUCACUGAGGACGCUGCGAUGUAGGCUGAGAAAAUUGCUGCCGAGGAGAACACAACGGGUGCCGCUGAAGACGCCGCCAAGGGGGCCGCUGAAGAGCCCUGCAAGGAGCAUGUUGAGGAUCCCGGCAAGGGCCUGCCGAAGAUGCCGACAAGGCCGCUGCCAAGGAGGCGGCGGUCGAUGACCAGCCCUCCUCCUCUGCUGCCUCCGGCUCCGGCAGGUACCUGAAGGUGAGCGAGGACCUCUUCGUCCAUCUCCCAGGCGCGUCAAGCUCUAGGGCCCCCAUCAAGGGGCAGAUGCUCGACGGUGAGGUGCUUGCCGCCGCCGGGCUUGACGUUGUCGAUGAGCCGAGCAUCGACGGUGAUGGCUCCCAGGAGGAGCGGCUCCUCCGGGCCAUGGGUGCCAGCUUUCGGAAGCUCCAGGCCCUCCACCGCGCUCACCUGGACAAGGCCAAGUCCAAGGCGGCGGUGGUGGAGAAAGUGGAGGCAGACUUCGAAGGGUGCGUCGCCGAAGCGCAAGACUGUUGGCGCCAGGCUCAGGACGAGCUGAAGGCCACUCAGAGCGAGCUAGCCAAGCGCGAUGUGGAGCUCACCAUGAAGCUGGCCGACAUCGAGAAAGCCCAGGAGACGGCGAGGAUCAUCGCUGUCGGAGCCGAGGCGGCCCGGUCCCAGCGCGAAGCCGCACUGAACUCCCAGGAGGAGGACCUUGUCGCGCGCGAGGAGAAGCUUGCCGCCACGCUCCGCGGAAAGGAUGAAGAGGUGGGCCAGCUCGUCACGCAGCGGACACAGGAGCUGGAGCAGAGGCAUCAGGAAGCACUCAAUGCCCAGGCUCAGGUCUACGCUGGCAAGGUGAAGGAGCUGGAGGAGCAAGCCUUGAAGCUAUCCGAGGAGAAGGACAUGCUCAAAGGGACCCUGGUGGAGGCGCAGGGCGCGGUCAUCAGCAAGGCCGGACAGCUCUCCGACGCCAACAACUCCAUCAGAGACCUCCUCCUGAAGCUGGGGGAUCUCGAGAAGAUGCUGUCGGAGGCCAGGACCCGAGAGGAGAUCCUGACCAAGGACCUGGCAACGGAGAUGCAACUGCGGAUGAACGAGACUGCCAGCCUCAAUGACCAAGUGGCGGGCGAGAAGCACUGGCUCGAACGCCUUGCCGCUGUUGUGGAUUCGGCCGCCACUCAGUUGGCCAUCAUGGGGGUGUCGGGCAUGGGGUACACCCCGGAGGUGAACCUGAGUCCCAACGCCAACCUGACCAUAUACUUUGAGAGGGUCGUUGGCGCCCUGAAGCGGCUUCACUCCAACUGGGCGGCUUCCCUGGCCGAGCAGUCGUGGAUUCUCUGCCGGGGGGCCAUGACCAGGGUGCUCGUCAAGAUAGCGCAUUGGCAUCCCAACCUUGAUUUCGGAGCGGUGCUGAAGAGCUUGCCAGAGGAUGUUGCCAUCGCAGCGCUCAAUGAGCGUAUCCAGCCCAUCCUCAGCCGCAUCGACAAAAUCAAGAGGAUGGAGGGCCAGCGCCGGGACUAAGCACCCCGUUCUUUAUCGCCGCUACAGGUUCAUGACCAAGAAAAGGCUAUCUUUAGUUAGAACUGCGGCGGCAAUUUAUGUAAUAUAACUCUGCAAUAUUCCUGAAAUUAUGCAUGUUAUUUUCCUGUUCGAUUUUCCCUUGUAGGUAUGCCCCAUGUUGACUGGGUAGUCUUGCCGGCGCGUAAACCCAGGGCGGCGUCUUGAGGAUGGAUCCUCAUUAGCAUGCCGGGUGCGCUUGCUGCCGGGCAAAGAACCUUACCGCCCUUAGCGCGGCCGCUCGACAUGUCGAGCUUGACUCGAGUCAGAGCCGAGAGCAUAGCUGAUGGAGAAAGGCUACCCUGCGCUCUCGACGCAGCCGCUCGAACUGUUGAGCAGACUCAAAACAUAACAAGGGCGUUGCCAAUCGCAGGAGGGCCCCUCUGCAUGCAGGGUUUCCAUACAUUGCGCCCCCUACCUGGCGCGCCAAAGAUGUCGGUGGGAAAUGACACCUAUGGGAUCACAAGAAUACCAACUACGGUUCGGGCCGCAAAGAUGCGUAAAACCCUACGAUCCUGCUUUGGUGGAUGUAUUUAGUGUUCUUGAGCUCCUGAACUAGCUCUGCGUGUUGCCAGGUUCCAAAGAGCCGAAUCCCUCUUCGGUGCGCCAUGGGCCUCCUUUUAUAGGCGAAAGGGGCUACCACAGUGGCACACAGGAGGUGGAAAGUGCUACAGCGUUAUGAGCUUAUCGCUGGUAUUACAGGACAAAGUGCAUUAAAUGCGGGGCUUAGGUGUCCCUCCACUUUAUCGGGGACGGGGGUGAGGCAUGUCCCAUCCGUCGCCGCCCCUCCUGGCUUUUACACGCGCCCUGGCCAGCGAUGCAUGCAGUGCCAUGUAGGCAGGCAGGCAGCUGAGGUGGCGCGGUGGUGGAGCCUCCACGAAGGGCUGCAUCUUGCCACGCACGUGCGUGCCUAGUUGGUUGGGUUGGUAGCUGCAUGCAAAUGGCGGCUGCGGAGACUUGCUGGCGCGGGCCUGGCAGUGGCCCUACUGGCGCGCCAGGCGAUGGUCUUGCCGGGUGGCCCAGAAAGGAUCCUGCCGCGGCAUGCCGUCGUCCCCGGCAAGGAUCUUGCCGGGGGCACUACUAGGAAAAGGCAUGCUAGUGGCGCACCGAAUUUGCCUUCUAAUGGCGUACUACUGGUGCGCCACUGGCAUCACGCCAUUAGAAUUAAAUUUUAAUGGCGCACUACUGGUGCUCCAUUAGUAUCUGGUGUUCUAAUGGCGCACCGCGUAGUGCGCCAUUAGUAUAGCCUGCAGUGCGCCAUUAGAAUGCCUCCCAGGGGCCAUAUGUACAAAUGUGCUUUGGCAUUCUAAUGGCGCACCAGCAGCUAAUGCGCCAUUAGUGUGAUGAUCACAGUGCGCCAUUAGUGUCUUGUGUGGUGCGCCAUUAGUAUGAAUAUUAGGUUUUAUUUUUUUUGCUUUUCUGAUUUUUGCACAGGUUACAAAAUAUAUUAUUGCAUAGAAUAUAGACAGCAGCACACAGCAACAUCAGAUUCAUCAAAUACAAUAGAAGAUUAGUCUCCGAAUACAAUUCAUCAUAUUAGUCUCCGGAUUCAAAAGACCGGACAAAGACAAAACAUUACAAGUCUCAAGACCGCGAGUAUCGAGUUUGCCUUCACAUUACAAGUCGAUAUCGAUCAUCUAAACUACCAUCACAUAGAAGAGAGCUGUGGUCAUCACGAUGAGCAUCAUCGCGAUCAAACUGGUCUUCAUCCGGUUCCUCCAACGCUCCCUCCUCUCUCCCGCUAGAUAGCGGGCGUAUCUAGAUUCGGCCUCCGCCCUAGUGGUGUACCCUUUGUAACUGUUACCGCUGAAACGGUGAACCUGUCUCCGACACUCCUCCCAGUCAUCGUAGACUCCGGGAACCUUACCCUUGUACACGACAUACGACGGCAUCUCUAUGCACAAGCCAAACAAUAGAUAAUACAUAAGCAAUGUGUAAGUAUGCAACAAAAGGAUCGGAAGAGAAAAGCAAGACAUUAAUAGCACGAUUCAUGGUCCUACUAAUAAAUAGCAUCGAUUACAUCUAAGUUGAACAACCGUCCAAACCAAAGAGACAUCCGAAUUCAUUAAAGUUUAAUUACAACAUGAGCCAAUCAAUGUUUCAGAACUACACAUCACUACUUUCGACUCAACUCAUCGGACAGGAGCGUGGGUGAAGCCGCCGUCUGUCGUGAUGGUCACGAAAUCACGGUCGUUGUCACCCUGCAUUUGUAGCAUUUCAUCUAUCUCACUGUUGGACGGUUGAUAUCUGAGGAAGAACUGCCCCGCGGUAUGAAGGACAUCUUGAUGGAUGAUGUCCGCAAACUCCGACUGGAUGCGAAAGAAUUCUUGUCUGAGGUCCGCGUCCUGGACUGCCGACAAGCUCGCGGCCCAAUCUUUGAGAUUAUCUGGUAGCAGAAGGUGAUGAUGGUCCCUUACGAUCGCCCGCAUGUGAUGGAGGGCGUAGUAGGCAUCCUUCUGACCGCCAGGCGGCUGCUUGACGCAGCAGAACUUCGUAUUGUGUGAGAAGAUGUGCUUGACGUACUUACGAACUGGCCUGGUGAAGGUGCCUCCAGAUUGGGCAUAGCCGGGGAGAACAUCAUCAAGAACUUUCUUCACAUUUGUGUAGUCUAUCAUGGAGUUACGGUUCGGGUCGAAAUACGUGGCCAUGGAAUAUUUCGGGCUUAAGAGGAUGAGUGUGCAAUGUGUGUCACUGCACAGAACACGGAAUGUUAGAAAAAAAGAACGAUCGAAAUCUAAGAAAUCAUAUGUUACGGGGCGGUUAAGGGAUGACUUACUCGGGAAAGUAAGGCACAAGGAAGUUAUCCUAAUCUGCGUUUGCCAGAAUGACGCCUUCGAGGUGUGAACUCGCAAUUUGGCGGUCCCCAGCGCUGCUCAAGUGCUUGGCACGCAUGUAGAAGGGGUAUUGUCUCUAAUGAUCCGCAUCUGCAUGCUCAGCGAAAACAGCCGAACGAAGGUGUAGUGCAACGGAUGAAGGUUAAACAUAGCAAAGAUGUCAUCAAACCGCAGGACGAUCAUACCCCCGAUGUCGCCAUCCACAAAGCCCUUGCUCUCUGGCACCUUGGCCACGAAAACCGGGUAUGCCACAUCCUUCUCUCUGAGACGCCGCUUCUCCAAAAUCAGAACACUGUCGUGCAGACUCCGCAUAGCACCGGUUGCAGCAUUCAGCAUAUUUGGCGGUAGCAUCGCCCUACCCGCCAUAUGCACCCUCCUCGAGAUAUCCUUAGGUGAAGGUGGCCCGUCCUGAGCACGGAUCGAACUCGGUGCCGGCUGGCUCGCACCGGCGCCCUUGUUAGUCUUUUGUUUCCGGCCCUUCUUCUUGAUCUCCUGUAAUGGGACCGAGUUCUGCUCACAGACCGCCUUCUUCAGCGUGUUGGGGCUGAUAAUAUUUCGCGCCUCAGCUAUCUGAGGCUUGGUGAAGGCGGGAGCUGGAGGCGUGUCCUGAGAACUGAACGCCAGACGACGCUUGUUGCAAUUGGAUUUCUCCGCCGUACCAGCUAGAUCGCGGUGGUCUUGGUUGGGUUCUUGAGAAAGAGGCCCGCAGAACUCGUCAGCGUACCCAUGUUCGGCAAAGUACUUAUCAACUUUGGUAAAUGUACCGUCGUCGUUGUCGUCGCCGUCCGGAUCCUGUGCCAUAGGGCUGUCCGGAUCCUGUGCCAUAGGGAUGUCCGGCAGGUCCGGUAGCGUUGCGGCGUUCUUGCCAUGGCUUGGCGCCGGCACGACUGGCGGUCUUGUCUGUGGGGUGGUGUCCCCCGCCCCCAAACGAAUCUGGCUCUUCGGCCAUAGCAGGGGCCAGUUUACGCAGGUGCCGAGGGUCAUCUCAUCUUCUUCGUCGGCCCCAGCGGGUCGAAUCGGAGGUAAUAGCUCGUCGCAGCCUGGCAGCACCUGGACCACUUCAACCCUAUACAUUGUGGUUGGCAUCCGAUUACCGUGGAACAUGGGGUUGCCCGGUUGAACGAUUCUGCCCUUGGCGACAUCGACCAACUCGGCGCCCACGAAGUGCAGAAGAGUGCAAGGAACGUCGGCGGUGCCCUGGAAUAACAUGUAUAGGGCGUCAGGGAUGCCCAGUCAAAGGCAAGGAGAUGAAGUCAUCGGCCGAGAGGCUUAGUUACCGUGAUGCCGUCGAGCUCGGCUAAUGUCGAGGCACCGCCAACGGCGGGCGUGCAACUGACGGAGGGGGCGCUUGCUGGCGAGGUGCCGGUUGGCGUACACCAGGGUGCAUUAAGCUCCAAUGCCCGUGCCGGUGCCGGAGACACGAAUACCGCCUCCGCCGGAGACACCAAUGGCGCCGCCGCCGGAGACACCAAUGGUGCCGCCGCCGGAGACACCAAUGGCGCCGCCGCCGGAGACACCAAUGGCGCCGCCGCCGGAGACACCAAUGGUGCCGCCGCCGCGCUGUGCGAGUUGCUGGCCGUGAAGCUGGGAACCGGGGGAGGCCCCUUUUGGCCGCCCGCAAUCCACGUCGUCAGCCCAUGAAUCAAUGUAGGCACCAUGGCGUUGAGCGUCGUUCCAAGUUGUUGUUGCACUUGCUCAUGGACAAGCUCCGGAAUCCGCGCCACUUGUGCCUUGAGUUCUUCAACCUCGCGCAUCUUGCUUUCCGAGCUGGUCUUUUUCUCCUUCCGCACACCAGCGGUAUAGUAUGACCCCCAUUUUGUGGACAAGCCUUUGCCGGCCACACGACCAGCUGACGUCGGCUUAUCGAGCUUAUCCUUCUUUUUCAUUACGUUCAACGCCCUAUUUAAAGGGGUGUCGAAAGGGGAGCUCUUAGACGACCCCGCGCUACUGCUUUCAUUGUCCUGCGAAAGGAACAUGAACCAUUUAGAAAUAUUGGGGAUUAGUUAGAGUGCAACCAUAUGGAGCUAAUUACGCGGGGGUGUAUUCCUUACCAGAACAAGCUCAAGCGCCCUGGUCUUCGGAUCCGUGGUAAGCUCCUUUGUUAUCGGGUCCUCCUUGUACCGGGCCCUGACAUAGUUCCUGGUCUGCUUGUCACCGCUGUAUUUCUCGAAGCGGGGCGGUAGGCCUUGCUCGGCACGCUCCGCGUCCUCCUUGUCCCAUAUAGGCUCAGCCACUCUAUAACCGCCGGGACCGAGUUUGUGUUCCCCUAAGUUCAACUCCCGCAUUUCUUUCCCCCACUGACUUGAUUCGGAGGUUGCGGGGCUCUGGCACUUGAUCUUGAACUCCUUGUACUCAUCUUCGCUCAUCAAAGGAUAUUUCGCCUUGAUCUUGUCAUAACUGUCACCUUUAUCAAUCAUUCUCUUCACUGCGCUUCUCCAAGUAGACAUGGCCGUGCUCAUCUUCGUGAGGGCGGCAUUGUUCACUUUAUUCCCUGAGAGGCGUGUGUUUUCAAAUUCGGCGGGGAACUUGUAUCGUUCGUGCAGCUUCGUGAAGAGGAGGUUGCGCAAAUUCCCUCGGUCCUUAUGCCUAAGGUUCUCGGUGUUGAUCGAGACGGUGCUCCGGAGAAUGCACCCGAGCUGAACCGAGUACCCCUUGACUAUAUGUUUGGGCUCCGUUGGAUUCCCGUCGGAGUCCACUUGAGUGAAUUCCUCCUUGACGGUGCGGAGCGCAUUCGGGCGCCGGUCCUUCCUUUGCUUCUUCGGUUGGCUGCCAUCUGUGUCUGCGCCGCCACCAUCUGUGUGUGCGCCGCCAUCAUCAGUGGUGGCAUCCUCGGCGGCACCAUCAGUGGUGUCAUCCCCGACGCCACUAGGGGUUGUGUAAUCAGGAUAGGUGUCUUCCGCGGCGUCAUCAUAGCGGUGAGGUUGUUCCUCCAUCUCUUGGGACAGCUCCCAGAAUUGCUUGCCGCCCGAACCACCGGCCUCAUCGUUGUGGGCCAUGUUUCUCUCUAAAUAGGAAAAAAGUUUGGUCAAAAAGAUGGUUAUUGUCAAGGAACAAGAUCAUGGUCUCAUGAUUUAGGGUUUGUCGACACCGAGGCACCCUAAAAGCCUAAGCUUUCAUCAUUUAGGUUCUCAUCGACACCGAGGCAUCCGGGGCAACCAAGUUAAGUUUUCAUCAUUUAGGGUUUAUCGAUGCCGAGGCACCCUAGGUUGGGCCUAAUCUUGGCUCUAUUGCCACCUAUGUUGGGUUUAUCAUCUAGGGUUUAUCGAUGCUAAGGAUAAUUCUAUGUUGGGCCUAAUCACUUGGCUCUAUUGCCACCUAUGAUUUAAUGCAGCAAGAAUGGCAGGGCAGUUGAUCCUACUUAACUAAGUACUAAGAUAGCCCGGCCCAUGCAUUAGUCGCAAGUACCCCAUAUGUCCUAUUUUUAGCAAAGUCAUGCUAAAAUUCACGGAAAAUUUCAGCAUGACCUUUGCUGAAAAUAGGACAUAUGGAGUACCCGAAUUUGCCGGAACGGAAGUUAAUCGACAUUCCGGCAAACUCAAGGGCCUCUCGGGGUACCUGCAAAUUCAUCACGACACGAUGGUCGGAGACAAAACCCAGCCACAGACCAUAUGGUCCUCUGCUUUCAUAUGGACAAAAAUCAGCUCAACUUAUGUGAGCUUCCAUUCCAGAUAUAAUAUGUCUCCCAACAAAAAAUCAUCAAUAGUUUAGAAAGUCUGUACAAACACAGAAAGAAUGACAAAUGUAUUUUUACAGAUCAUGGCUCAAAGUCAUAAACAUCUAUAGACCAAAUAUAGUAAUGGAUACAGCAGAUUAGUCUUAUGAUUUUACUUGUUCGGUAUAAAAUAGCUUAUGCUUUCCUUACAGUACAUGUCCACAUUUGAUAUGUCCUUUUUGUCUGUCCUGCUUUUUGAAUCAACCGUAUCGAGCAAUACUAUGGAAUUAGUCAAAUAAUUGUGCAUGUUUUGACAAUAGGAUGAAUGCAAAAGAAAAUCAAAUGGUUGUGGCAAUCUGUCCAUCAUCAUGACUGUUGACAGUCGCCACACCCACUGUUGGACUUUGAUCUAGCACAAAGGGGGUGUAUAAGAGCAGAUAUGGAUGGUGUGGUCUGGCACAGAUAGCAGUAUAAUCAUCUUAAUCUUGUAGUGUAAUUUUUAAUCCGUGGAAGCAAACGGGCAUUGUGCUAGUCUAAUAAGAAUACACAUUGUUGAACUUCAUUGCUGGAAUUAAUGGUUUACUAUCGGGAUGUGCCUUAGGAGCAUCGCUUAUCAAGUGAAAACAUAAGACACAAACUUGUAGCUGUAUGUGUUUUGCCAAGAAAGGGUGCAACAAGAAAUAUUUUCCUAGUACUGGUUUAUCUCACCUACUAGUAAAGGGACAUUUCUCCUCAAAUCAAAAGUUAAUACAUCGUUGUUUCUUACUAGGGGAAGAUGGACCUGGAUGGUCAAGCACGUGGAAGAUGGCUUUGUGGGCGCGCCUUCUUAACAGCGAAAAUGCAUACAGAAUGAUCCUAAAGUUAAUCACAUUGGUUCCACCUGGUGAAAAAGUUGGGUUCGAAGGAGGACUGUACACCAAUCUGUGGACAGCACACAUAAGAACAGUAGCAGUAGUACUACUACUAGCAGUAGUACUACCAAAAGAAAGGAAAGAACAGUAGCAGUAGUACUACUNNNNNNNNNNNNNNNNNNNNNNNNNNNNNNNNNNNNNNNNNNNNNNNNNNNNNNNNNNNGGUCGGGGUUGGGGUCGGGGUCGGCGGCGGCGUCGUCGUCGAAGGGAUGCCUCAGUUGGCCGUGGGAAGGCCGGCGGCCGCGGUCGUCGUCCUGCACCCCGUGCCCGGACUGAGGAAGACGCCGGCGUUGAAGCUCCGGCAGCGGCUGGGCGUCGGGGGGCGACGGCGCGGGGGCGAUGGCGCGGGGGCAAAGUUAGGUCGAGUGGGGGGGGAUCUGGCGAGGGAGGGAGAGAGGCCAGAGGGGAAUAGGUGGAGGGAAGCUUUCUAAUGGCACACCAAACGCAGGUGCGCCAUAAGUACGACUGUUCUAAUGGCGCACCACCCCUCGGUGCGCCAUUAGAAUUUUGUUUUAACCUAGCCUAGUAGCCAUAUCUACAGCCCAACCCUAUCUACAAUAGAACCCACGCACUAGCCCGACUGGUUAGCACGCAGCACACACACCAGGAGGUCCUGGGUUCGAUUCCCAGGAUCCCCAAUAUUUUUUUAUGCAUUUUAAAUGGUGUUUUUUAUAUUUAUUUGUGUUUAAAUAUGUUCAAACUUGUUUAAAUCAUAACAGUAAUAUUUUUUAUGCAUUCUAAAUGCUGUUUUUUAUAUUUAUUUGUGUUUAAAUAUGUUCAAACUUGUUUAAAUUAUAACAGUAAUAUUUUUUAUAAAAAUAGUAAAAAAAAUUUAAAAAAUAUGUUCAAAAAGUGCAGGUGCGGGGGGCCGGGUGCUCCGGCGGUGGAGCGGAGGAGGGUUGCGAUGGGUGGAGCUAGCGGGGGAGGGUGCGGGUGCGAUCGAGAUGGAGGGGGAUCGAGAUCGAGAUGGAGGGGGAAUCGAGAUCAAGUGUCCUCAUGAAUUCAAAAAGUGCCCAUGAAAUUUAAAAAUAUUCAUGAUAUCAAAAGGUGCCCAUGAAAUACAAUCGAGAAAUGAAGACUACGAUUUAAAUACAAUCGGUCUUAGCUAGCUAUCUGUUCACAAUCUUCUUGCCCUUCUUUUUCGCAAACGGAGUUCUUCUGUGGAACGGACGUCCUUUAGGUAGGGUGGUCCUGCUUCUUCUUGUGGUGUGUGCUGCUACUUCAUCGUCGUCGUCAUGUUCGAUCUUCGGGUCGCCGUACUUGUCGAAGUCUUGCUCAUUGGCUACUCCAUCCAUUCCGAUGAUCUUCCUUUUGCCUCUCCUCACGACAACACGACUGGGCUUUGGCGGGUCGGUAAUGAAGAAGCAUUGGUCCACAUGGGAAGCCAGUACCCAUGGCUCAUUUUUCGCGGUGACGUUUGCGCCCGCGGUCUUGGAUUUGGCUUCGGGUAUAACCAUGGUGGUGAAAUACCGGUCUUGUUUUAUGACGUUUUUGGCCCAUCUGACACGGAACAUCAGGACCUUCUCUCCAGCGUAGCUCAGCUCCCAGAUCUCCUCGAUCCUUCCGUAGUAUCUGUCCUUGUCGUUACCGGUGUAGGAUUCCAUCGUUACCCCGGAGUUCUGAUAACCAUCGCUCUUCAUGUCCUUGUCCUCGGUGUAGAAUGUGUAGCCGUUGAUAUCGUACGCCUCAUAGGUCAUCAGGUUGUGCUCGGCGCCCUGUGACAAGGCGAAUAUGAGUUGUUCUUCCGCGGAAGAAUCCUCAUGUAAAGGGUACGACAGAAGCUUCUGCUUGAACCAACGCGUGAAACAUGAGUUGUGCUCUUUGAGUAUAUCUCCGUCCGUCCUCUGUUGGCCUCGGUCAUUGUACGUCUUCUUAAUAAAGGUUUUGUGCUCUACCACCCAAGGAUCGACCACGUCUAUGUGUUGUAGCGCGACUAGGUUUGCUCUUUCAAAGUCGGCGAGUCGACCCUCAAAGUCGACAUGCAUUUCGCGGCGACCCUCAUGGUGACCCCAUCCAGCGAGCCUGCCGAGGUGCCUGUUGAUGGGUAGACCAACGGGGUUCUCGAUGCCUAGAUAAUUCGUGCAGUAGGAGAUGCACUCUUCGGUCAGAAAGCCCCUGGCUAUGCUUCCCUCUGGACGUGACAUGUUGCGAACGUAUCCUUUGAUGACACCAUUCAUCCUUUCAAACGGCAUCAUGCUGUGCAGGAAUGUCGGCCCGAGUUGGAUGAUAUCCUCCACUAUAUGGACCAGCAGAUGCACCAUAACGUCGAAGAAUGCGGGCGGGAAGUACAUCUCAAGCUCGCAUAGUAUCACCACGAUCUCUUCUUGUAGCCUUCUGAGUUGCCUCACGCCAAUCGACUUCCGAGAGAUGACGUCGAAAAAGUUGCAUAGGCCAAAUAGCGUUUCACGGACGUGCGCGUCCAUGAUCCCACGGAUUGCAACUGGAAGUAUCUGCGUCAUCCACACGUGACAGUCGUGAGACUUCAUCCCGCUGAACUUCUGCUUCGCUGGGUCUAGGUAUCUGAUUAUCUUCCCCGCGUAACCGUAAGGAAGUUUUACUCCUAGGAGGCAGGUGAAAAACUGCUCGAUCUCCUCCUGACUUAGAGUGAAGCACGCGGGAGGGUAGUCAUUUCCAGUCUUCUUGGCCUUUUUGCCUUUGCGACGACUUUCCGUGUCCUGCUUCGCCUCAUCAUCAUCAUCAUCAUCAUCAUUAGCGUGAAGCUCCUGCCUGAUGCCCAUUGAUUUCAAGUCUGCCCUUGCUUUCGGCCCAUCUUUGGUCCUCUCUGGCAUGUUGAGCAGGGUACCAAGCAGACUCUCGCACACGUUCUUCGUGAUAUGCAUGACAUCAAGGCUGUGAGGCACACGGUGGAUCUUCCAGUACGGCAAGUCCCAGAAAACAGACCUCGUUUUCCAUACCUUCAGCAGCGGCUCUGGCGCCUUUCGCUUCUUUCCCGGCAGUGGGCAGUCUUUCCAAUUUUUCAACAGCUUGUCUAUUUCCUCGCUGCUCCUUGUACACGGGCGUUUUCGGGGUUCGGUUUCACCAUCGAACAGAUCCUUGCGUUUCCUCCACGGGUCAUCGUCGCGAAGCCACCUUCGAUGUCCCAUGAACACGGUUUUCGAAGACCCGGGAUCUCUAUCUAGCUGGCGAUACGUUGUGUCAUCCAUGCACCUUACGCAUCCAGAAAAUCCGUGGACUACCUGCCCCGCGAGAUAUCCGUAACCGAGAUAGUCGUGCACCGUCGUGAGCAGUGCGGCUCUCAUAGGGAAAUAUUCUUUCUCUGCGGCGUCCCACGUAUUGGCUGGCGUUUUCCACAGCGUGUCAAGCUCCUCUUUCAGCAGCCCCAGAUAUAGAUUGAUGUCGUUCCCUGGUUGUUUCGGCCCUUCUAUUAGCAUACUCAUGUGAAUGUACUUCCUAUUCAUGCACAACCAGGGGGAAGGUUGUACAUCCACACAAACACAGGCCAGGUGCUAUGUGUGUUUCUCUGGCUCAAACGGAUUGACUCCAUCGGUGCUCGCGCCAGCACGAUGUUCCUUGGAUCGUUCCCAAAUUCUGGGUAUUCGAAGUUCAACGCUUGCCACUGGCUCGCAUCCUUAGGGUGACUCAGCAUCUUGUCUUUUUUAUCUAUCUCCGGAUCAUUUGCGUCAUCUUCUCGCUUCUUCUCCUCCCUAUCCGCGUGCAAUGCAGGAGCUUUGCUACCUUAGGGUCCGCGAAAUACCGCUGCAGACGAGGAGUGAUCGGAAAGUACCACACCGAUUUUCGAGGAGCUUUCUUCCUCUUCUUGUAUCGAGUGAUGCCGCACACCGGACAUAUGGUAGACUCCGCGUGCUCGUCCCGAUAAAUGAUGAAAUUGUUCAUGCACACAUGGUAUUUCACGUGCGGUAAAUCCAGAGGACACACAAUUUUCUUCGCCUCCUCGAAACUGGUCGGGCACUUGUUCCCCUUGGGAAGACGUUCGUGCCAGAAUGACAUGUUCUCGUCGAAGCAUGCGUCGGUCAUUUUGUGUUUUACCUUCAUCUCCAAAUCCAUGAGCGUUACUUUCAGGCGGGUAUCCUCGGGCCUGCAUCCUUCAUACAAUGGAGUAACCGCGUCUAUCUCCAGUUGAUCCAGCUUGGCUUUCUCUCGGGCGGCAGCUCUUGCGUUAUCCGUCCGCUUGAGAAGCAGCUCUUGAAUAUGAGGGUCCUGCACCCAGCCUCCAUCGUCGUCUGCUCCGGCAUCUUCAUCUUCAUGAUCAUUCCCUUCGUCUUGAUCUUCCUCAUCAUCAUGUACGACAUCUUCUACAUGAUGAUUGUGUACAGCAUCAACGUCGUGAUCAUGUCCUGGAGAUUCUUCGUCUUCUCGCCCGCCCUCGCCGCGGUGGUACUUGUCUUGUUGCCCUUCCUCAUUUCUUGCCCGGCCCCGGCCAUGGACGACUUGAUAGUCAUCUUCAUCACCUUGCCACCGAUAGCCAUCCAUGAAACCACGCAAGAGCAGGUGGUCCCGCACCUGCCCGGAAUCCGGGUCCGCAAUAAGGCUCUUCAGCUUGCAUCUUCGACAUGGACAUCUUAUCUCCGUCUCGUUCUUUUGAAGCAUCUCGGCCUUCGCGGAGCUCAAAAACCUAUUCACGAUGCCUUCAGUCAUCGUGCGGACCAUGGUCGCCUGCGGGGUAGAGCAAAAUGAUAUGUUAGAACCAAGAAAAUUUUUGGCAUGACCUUCCCUAAAAAUAGGACCAAAAAGAAUGCAUAGUGCCAAAAUUCUCGCCGAAACGGAAAUGAAUCAAAACAUUCCGGCAAAAUAUUGGCAACUAUCGCAUAUUUCAAAUACCGGUACCUUCAAACACAAACAUAUAUGGAACACUACAAACACAUGCAACACCACAAACAUACAUAGAUCUAGCUAGGCCACAAAAAGUGCAUGUGCACGUUGUUGGAGCGAGCUAGGGAGAAAAAAAAGUAGAUCUAUAUCAUGAAGAUAGCUUUCCCUUACUUACCUAUCAAAAAAAGGUAAUUUCACCAUUUAAUUUUGUUGAAUCUAUGGUGGAAAUGAGGUGAGGAGGAGGAGAUGGCCGAAAGCUUGGAGAAGGAGGUGGAUGGAAUGAAGUGGGGAAAGUGAGUGGGUAGGUGUGGGCUGUCCAAAAUAUCUUGUUGGUCCCAGGUUACUAAUGGCGCACCGUAGGAAAAUGCGCCAUUAGUAACCCUGGUUACUAAUGGCACAUCAGCCUACGGUGCGCUAUUAGUAGUUUUGCAAAAAAGUAAAAAUAAUAAGUAUAUAUACUAAUGGCGCAUCUCCUCUGAGUGCGCCAUUACUAGUUUAAACUAGUAAUGGCGCACUGUGCCACGAUGCGCCAUUAGUAGUUUUCCAAAAAAAAGAAUAAAACAAAAUUUACAGUAAUGGCGCACUGCCUGCUUGGUGCGCUGUUAGUAGUUAUAGAUAGUAAUGGCGCAUUAUGGACCCGAUGCGCCAUUAGUAUGUAUGGGAAAAUGGAAAAAAAAUAAUUCAUACUAGUGGCGCACCCUGUUUACGGUGCGCCAUUAGUGUCUUCCACACUAAUGGCGUAUCACAAACAGGUGCGCCAUUAGUAUAUAGUAGUGGCGCACUGCUUCCACGGUGCGCCAUUAGAAUCAAUCCUAUCUAUAGCCCUUUUCCUAGUAGUGGGGUCUCGUGGGCUUCCUCGGCAAGAACCUUGCUGAGGAUUGUUGCCUUCCUAUCCUCAUUUGAUCUUGACUGUUCUCUGUCUUCACAAAGAUAUGUAUGCCACCACGGGGGUGCCUCCCGAGCCCUGUCCCAAUGCGCUUCCUUAGCGUUGGUGGGCUCGAAGGUGGCUCGCUCAGCUGGUGUGGACGAGCUGCCACGGCAAGGGUCUUGCCGGGGCCGCUGAGGCUGCCCUCGGCAAGGGUCCUUGCCGGGGCAACCUGCGUUGCCCGUGCGACCUUUGUGGCCUUGGUCCUUGAUGUUGCUUUGUUCGUCUUGUCCCUUCGGGUUCUCUCCGGCGUCCCUCUCCUGCCCUGUUUAUGCAUGGCCGUGGCAGGUACCUCUGACUGCCCAUGCACAAGUAAAGGGGUCAAAAGCAGAGCCCCUACUUUUGUACACCGACACGAGCGGCAAAAAGUUGGCCGCUGCUCCCGGAUUCCGAUCCGGAGCUCCCCUGCGGCUUACGUCCUGGCCCAAGAAUGGUCUGAACUGGUCUUCGUCCGACGAACUGUCGGUACUCCAGACACAAGUCAAAGGUAUGGAAGACAAGAACAGCAAGCUCGUCAAUGUAGUCCAGGUGAUGUUAGUUCGCCGGAUUCUUCCCUGUCUGAACCGGGCAUGCAAUUUAUGGGAGUACGACCCAGCCGAGCACCAGACCCUGCGGGCGCUCUAUGGUUCCUCGCAUGUGGACAUCUGGAAGGUGCUCUUCAAGUCUGACAAAUCGUGGCCGGACUCUGCCGAGGACCGUGGAUACAAACUGUCCCGCCCUGCAAGUCCAGUAAGUCAUCGCCAUGUCCGACAAUUCAUAUGUUUCAUUUGCAUAUCCUAAGGAAGAUGCUUAAUAUGCUUCCGAUAAUUCUCCUAGGGCUGGAUGAAGAAGGCGGGGCGGAUCCACUGUCCGGCCCCAUUGCCGGAAGAACCGGCCUGCUCGCUUCUGACGAAGAUGCUGGUCCCGACGCCUUACAAGGCGUCGGAGAAGAAGGCCGAGAAGGAGGCCAAGGAGACCAGGGGCGACCUUCGUUGCUGUGGCGCUUCGGACACAAAAUCCGAAGACUCCAAUGCCCAUUCUUCCUCCGAAGAGCACGAGGAGGAGGAGGAAGAUGAAUCCCCGUAAAGGGAAGAAAGAAAAGGACGGCCUCCUCAUCCUUGGAGGCCGAAUCGCCUAAGAGGGGAAGAACCCCCCUUCCAGAGGCGUCCGCCACUGCUGCCGAUAGCAGCCCGGAGUGGGAUCCCAGGGCCCAGUCCCUGGUGAACUCGUGUGUACACGAAAUCCGAACAUGCCUACGCAUCCAGGAUUAUUAAGGGGUAAUAUUUUAAUUUGCGCCAUAAUUUUUGCAGCCAGCGAGGUCCCGCACCAAACAAUCCUCGUCAGAUGACUGCUGAGUCCGGAUGACAUAGAGAGCAAGAAACCCCCGAAGGCCCCUUCCCCUAAGCAUAGGAAUGACACCGAGGUGUCGUCCCAGAAGGACCCAGACCAGGGAGGCCAAACUUUAGGGGCCGGAUGUAUGGGAGCGAUGGCUCCUAUGAGCGUCGACGGCGGGGGCGAUCUUGAAUUCGUCCCACAGCCGGACACAUUCCCGGAGACCUUCAAGGCUCCAGAGUCAGGCAGGCAGCCUCCCUCGGCUGGAGGGGGCGUGCCUGCUCUGCCGACAACCUCUAACCAACCGGAGGUGCAAGGCAGCUUAUCAACAGCGCUAAAAAGUGCUUCCAUCAUCGAUGAACAUCGCGCCCUUAUGGGUGCGGUGAUUGAGAAGAUUCAGUCCGCUGAAAGUGGACUGAAUGAAUCCUGCAUCAGCCUUAUAAAAGGCUUUGAGGUAUGUUUUAUGAGGUUUUGAAGAUUGUCAUAGUAUGGAUAGUAGCCGCUGAUAUACUGUUUGGUGAAAGAAAGCACCGGACAGAUGAUCAAAUUUCCGUUCGCAGGAGACUCAGUUGAUGACAUAUAUCUCUUCCUUUAUAAGCAGGCGUCCGUAGCGACUGCCGCCUCUCAUACUGCGGAAGUAUCCGGACUGAAGCAGAGUCUGGAGCAGGCCCAAGAAGAACUUGGCCUAGUGAAGAAGCAGUUGGAGGAUAGGCGAGGUAUGCCGAGACCUUGUUCCGUUCAGCACAAAUGAAUAAGUGUGCCUGAUGAAAGUAUUUGUAUUAUGCGCUCUAGGGGCGAUGGCCGAAAUUGAGGCGCUUAAGAAGGUUGUGGCCGAAGCCAAAAAGAAGGCAGCCGCGGAGCAGGCUCUUUGCGAGAAACACGUGGCCAGGGUCAUUGAAGCUGAGCGAGAGAUUCAGAAUGCCGUGAAGAAAAGCGAGACUUUGGAGCAGAGGUUAUCAGGGAAAGAAUUCGAACUCUCCCAUGCUCUCCAAACCGCAAAUGAUGCUCGAGAAGAAGCCCAAGGUGCUCUGAAGGAAAUUCAGGAGGCAAGGAAGAUUGCGGCUGGUAAGGCUUUUGCUCAUACAAAGUGGUCUUUAUUUUGUGAAAGGAGAAAAUCAAGUUGAUAAAUUGAAUUCUAAUUUCUCCAGGGGUGUUUGCGGAGCUACCACGCAGCAUAUCUGAUGCCGCCCAAUUCUACCGAGCGGAAGAAAAGAAGACUGCGGAGAAGCUCUUCUGGUUGCAGUAUUUGGCGCCGAAUUAUCUGGUGCCAUUUACCGAUCAGCUGAAGAAGCUGAUCGAACUGCACAAGGCGGACGAACUAGCCAUGAAGGAUUUGAUUGUCCGGCUAUGGCCUGCCGAGCCGAUUCCAAGCAGUUAUUUUGGGCUCGUGAAUCGGCUGGUGAGUGCCUGCCCUCGACUCGAAGUCGUGAAGCGGUCGGUCUGUAUGGAGGGUGCGCGGAUGGCCAAGCUGCACUGGGGAAAGCUAGACGCAGAGAAGCUGAUGACCGAGGGACCGCCGGAGGGGAAGGAGCACCGCAAACCUGAAUUGUAUUAUGAUAGUGUCCUGAAAGGAGCCCGCCUUGUGGCGGAGAAAUGCACUAAGGACAUUGUAUUUCCAUGAGUACGGUCAUUCUUGUCCUUUGUAAUGCUAAACAAGGUCAUUUGUAUUGUUUAUUGCCUGUUUGUGUAAAAGUUUUUCAUCCUGCGUGGCCAUUUUGAAAUAUACUAAUCCUGAGAGUUGGCCAGUCGUCGGCUUCUGCCCGCACGUAGGAAGUACGGGGGUGUUCGGGAUAAACCUAAGCACUCUUUCUCCCAUUUUUGGGUCCUUGAAGGAGGUGUCCAGCACAACGAACCAGGCAAUCAGACUAUAGGGCUUUAUCACUCUCACUUAGCCAUAGGAGUUUGUCAAAAGUAUGGUAGGUGCAACCCCUGGUGUUCGGAAGACCGCACGUGGGGCUCUAUAAGCACCUGAUCGGGAGAAAAACCGAUCCAUCGCAUGCUGCAUUGGUUAUGGCAUUAUGCAGAAUAAAUCUUUAAAGAUUUUACAACCUCUCGAACAGCUGACCAGCUCUCGCCGUAUCAUGACAGUCAGUUUUCAGCUUUCUCUACUGAGGUGCUCGUCCGGAAGAACCGGGACACAAUCGCAGUAGUUCUCCCAGCGCUACCUUAGCCGAUAUAGCAGAACGUAAGGUACCAAAACAUGGGAGCCGGGCAAACCCAACUAUUGACCCAAGACAUGAUUCGGAGCUGAUGCAUAUAAUGCUAUAAGUUCGGGGUGGCGAACGAUCGAGAAGGUGGUCGGACUUUAGUGCCAUGUUAUGGGUACAAUGAAGCCCCUGGCGUAUUUAAAGGCACACACGAUGUAUGGAUGCCGUUAUGACGAAAGGUGCCAAUAGGAAAUGAUAGCAGAGAAGCGUCAUAUAAAUUUCGAGCAAUACAUCUAGGUGUAUGAGUAAAAGUAAGUUUGUAAAAAGAAGUGUCAUGGCGGAACCUACUGAGAUCAGGCGGGAAGGAGCUGUGUGUGGAUCCGGAGUGUAUCCGGAUUGUCUUCAAGGGGACUAUCUAGGGAUUCCCUUGCACGUCCAAGUUGAUUCCCGGUCGCUAGUCCUGUCCUACGCGAAAGCGACCCUGCAAAGAGAAUGCUAGAAACAUUUGUGUGCCAUGAAGCAGUUGAGCCACGGGAUGUGGCCCUUCCCCACUUAUGUUGGAGUGUUUAGUUGAGCCCUAGUCGAGCCGAGCUAUCAUGCCGUGAAUUAGUUCAGACUCCUUUAUCGGUGUCCAGGAGUUUGGCUGUCGAAUCAAGGUUCGAUUGAAAGGCGCCACUCGCUGCUUCUGUCGUUAAAGUGGUGGUAUACUCUUUGGCGCCAAGGUGGAGUUCGACUUUGCCCUUAAUUGUGAUGACGUCAUGCGGGCUAGGCAUUUUGAACUUGCCAUGGGCGUAGUGUGGUACCGCGUUGAAUCGAACCAACGCGGUUCACCCCAGUAGUGCGUGAUGAUUACUGCAGAGAGGGACAAUGUCAAAGACUAACUCUUCGGUACGGUAAAUGUUUGGUGAUCCGAAGACUACCUCCAGAGUGAUGGAGCCUAUACGAACGGCCUCCACACCUGGUAUGACACCUUUAAAGGAGGUUUUAGUGGGUUUGAUCAUCGAGCGAUCGAUACCCAUCUGGCACACUGUGUCCUGAUACAGCAGGUUUAGACUGCUGCCUCCGCCCAUAAGGGCUCACAUGAGGUGGAACCCGCAAACUAUUGGGUCGAGGAUAAGUGCGGCUGAAUUGCCCUGGUUGGUAUUGGCCGGAUGGUUUGUAUGAUCAAAAGUGAUCGGCCGUAUUUUUAUACUGUGGGGGGACUCGCUCCGUUAAGUCGAUGUCCCGAAAAGUGCACGUCCUUUCCCGUUUGGGGAUGUGGAUGGUGUUUAUCAUGUUCACCGUUUUGAUUUGCGGGGCAAUGUUCUUUUGCCCUCUAUUGUUUGGUGAUCUGGGCUCCUCGUCGUCUUCAUCGCUUUGAGACCCCUUCUCCUUGUUCUCGGCGCCUGACCUGCAGUCUUGUUUAAAGACCCAGCAUUCUAUGUUGGUAUGAUUGGCUGCCGUUCCUGGGGUACCAUGAAUUUGGCAUGGGCGGUCAAGUAUGCGGUCCAGGCCGGAUGGGCCCGAAUUGUUCUUUUGAAGUGGCUUUUUCCGCUGACUGGACUGAGAGCCACGGAACCCAGCAUUAACUGUCGUAUCUUUGGCGUCAUCAUUGUUUUUGCGACGCUUAUGUUUGUUGCGUCGAGGUUCCCCUUUGCUGUCUCUGGCCUCUGAUGUGCCAGGAUUGCUUCCUGUGUUGUUGCUACGAGCCAACUAGCUAUCUUCGCCCGCACAAAAGCGGGUCAUGAGUGUCGUGAGGGCUGCCAUGGAUUUCGGCUUUUCUUGGCCGAGGUGUCGGGCGAGCCAUUCAUCGCGGAUGUUAUGCUUAAAGGUCGCUAGGGCCUCGGCGUCCGGACAGUCGAUGAUUUGGUUCUUUUUAGUUAGGAACCGAGUCCAGAAUUUCCUGGCUGACUCUCCGGGCUUUUGGGUUAUGUGACUUAAGUCGUCAGCGUCCGGUGGUCGCGCGUAAGUGCCCUAGAAGUUGUCAAGGAAUGUGUUUUCUAGGUUUUCCCAACUGCCAAUGGAGUUAGUCGGCGGGCUAUUCAGCCAAUGUUGAGUUGGUCCUUUGAGCUUAAGUGGGAGAUACUUGAUGGCAGGUAGAUCGUCACCGCCGGCCAUGUGAAUGUGGAGAAGGAAAUCUUUGAUCCAUACUGUUGUACCAUCAUAUGAUUCAGUUUUUACGGGUUUGAACCCUUCUGGGAAUUCAUGAUCCAUUACUUCGUUGGUGAAGCAUAGGGGGUGUGCGGCGCCUCUAUGCCGGGUUAUGUCUCGAUGCAGUUCGAAUGAGUCUGGUUUGUUAUAUUCGGCCCGGCCGGACUUGUUUUUAGUGUAUCCGGCGUGACGAUUAUCUUCACGCGUUGUGACGCGCCCCCGCGAUCCGGAGAUCGAUCUUGACUGUCCUGCUUUGUUUCCCAAUACGUCUCACAGGUCUUGCGUGUACCCCCUGGCCGUACUAUAUUGGUGCGGGGUGUGGGCUGGUAUUCGGGCUCAUGCGCCGCUUUGUCUCGGCCUGAGGUGGCCGGUCAGCCUCGUCCUGCGCUGGUAGUGUAGGCUCUAGUGCCCCCUCCUUGAGUGGAGGUAGCAACCUGCCCUUUGGGUAACUUUUGGUUGGGCGCACGAGCCUGUAUUCCUCGGCUGCCAGGACCUCAGUCCAUCUAUCUGUUAGCAAAUUUUGAUCAGUUUGAAGCUGCUGCUGUUUUUUCUUCAGGCUUUUUGCAGUGGCUAUAAGCCGGCGCUUGAAGCGCUCCUGCUUGAUGGGAUCCUCAGGCACGAAAAAUUCAUCGUCACCGAGGCUCACCUCGUCUUCGGAGAGAGGCAUAUAAUUCUCGUCCUCCAAGUCUCCAUUCGUUGCCUGUUCAUCUGGGUUGGCUUGCUGAUACGUCUCCAACGUAUCUAUAAUUUAUGAAGCAUUCAUGCUAUUUUAUUAUAUGUUUUGAAUGAUUACGGGCUUUAUUAUACACUUCUAUAUUACUUUUGGGACUAACCUAUUAACCGGAGGCCCAGCCCAUAUUGCUGUUUUAUUGCAUGUUUCAGUAUUUCGAAGAAAAGGAAUAUCAAACGGAGUCCAAACAGAAUGAAACAUUCGGCAAAGUUAUUUUUGGAACAAAACCAAUCCCAGGAACUUGGAGUGCAAGCCAGGGGAUCAUCGAGGAGGCCACGAGCUAGGGGGCGCGCCCACCCCCUGGGCGCGCCCUACCCUCUCGUGGGCCCCUCGAGGCUCCCCCGACCAACUUCUUUCGCCUAUAUAUUCCCUCGUACCCUAAAAACAUCAAAUAUCAAGAUAGAUCGGGAGUUCCGCCGCCGCAAGCCUCUGUAGCCACCAGAAACCUCUCGGGAGCCCUUCCCAGCACCCUGCCGGAGGGGGGAUCCUUCACCGGUGGCCAUCUUCAUCAUCCCAGCACUAUCCAUGACGAGGAGGGAGUAGUUCACCCUCGAGGCUGAGGGUAUGUACCAGUAGCUAUGUGUUUGAUCUCUCUCUCUCUCUCAUGUUCUCUCUCGUGUUCCCUCUAUGGCACGAUCUUGAUGUAUCCCGAGCUUUGCUAUUGUAGUUGGAUCUUAUGAUGUUUCUCCCCCUCUACUCUCUUGUGAUGAAUUGAGUUUUCCUCUUGAAGUUAUCUUAUCAGAUUGAGUCUUUAAUGAUUUGAGAACACUUGAUGUAUGACUUGCCGUGAUUAUCUGUGGUGACAAUGGGGUAUCAUGUGCCACUUGAUGUAUGUUUUGGUGACCAACUUGCGGGUUCCGCCCAUGAACCUAUGCAUAGGGGUUGGCACACGUUUUCGUCUUGACUCUCUGGUAGAAACUUUGAUGCACUCUUUGAAGUACUUUGUGUUGGUUGAAUAGAUGAAUCUGAGAUUGUGUGAUGCAUAUCGUAUAAUCAUGCCCACGGAUACUUGAGGUGACAAUGGAGUAUCUAGGUGACAUUAGGGUUUUGGUUGAUAUGUGUCUUAAGGUGUUAUUCUUGUAUGAACUCUAUGAUAGAUUGAGCGGAAAGAAUAGCUUCAUGUUAUUUUACUACGAACUCUUGAAUAGAUAGAACAGAAAGGAUAACUUUGAGGUGGUUUCAUACCCAACCAUAAUCUCUUCGUUUGUUCUCCGCUAUUAGUGGCUUUGGAGUGACUCUUUGUUGCAUGUUGAGGGAUAUUUAUAUGAUCUAUCUAUGUUAUUAUUGUUGAGAGAACUUGCACUAGUGAAAGUAUCAACCUUAGGCCUUGUUUCCUACCAUUGCAAUACCGUUUACGCUCACUUUUAUCGUUAGUUACCUUGCUGUUUUUAUAAUUUCAGAUUACACAUACCUUUAUCUACCAUCCAUAUUGCACUUGUAUCACCAUCUCUUCACCGAACUACUACAUCUAUACAAUUUACCAUUGUAUUGGGUGUGUUGGGGACACAAGAGACUCUUUGUUAUUUGGUUGCAGGGUUGUUUUAGAGAGACCAUCUUCAUCCUACGCCUCCUACGGAUUGAUAAACUUUAGGUCAUCCACUUGAGGGAAAUUUGCUACUGUCCUACAAACUUGUGCACUUGCAGGCCCAACAACGUCUACAAGAAGAAGGUUGUGUAGUAGACAUCAAGCUCUUUUCUGGCGCCGUUGCCGGGGAGGUGAGUGCUUGAAGGUAUAUCUUUAGAUCUUGCAAUCGAGUCUUUUAGUUUCUUGUUUUAUCACUAGUUUAUUUUAUAAAAGAAAACUACAAAAAAAAUGGAAUUGAGUUUGUCUCAUACGCUUCAUCUUUUUAAUAUCUUUCGUGAGAACGAUGGAAAGGAAAAUUGUGCUCAAGUGCUAGAAGAAGAAAUUUAUAAAAUGUUUGUCACUAAAUCUUUGAAUGGUGAGCAUGAUGGCAACGUUGUUAGUAUGAAUUCUUUGAAUACCCAUGAUGCUAAUGAUAUGCAAAGCCACAAGCUUGGGGAUGCUAUGUUUGAUGAAGAUGAUAUGUUUUGUCCCCCAAGUUUUGAUGAGAAUAUUUAUUAUGAUGAAAGCAUGCCUCCUAUUUAUGAUGAUUAUAUUGAUGAAAGUGGGUUUUGAAGAGUGUCAACUUUAGGUAGUAUUGAUCCCACUAUUUUGGAGGAUGAAUCUUAUUGUGAUGAAUAUGAAAGUGGAUUUAGAAGAGUGUCAACUUUAUUUAGUGAUGAUUCCACUAUUUCGGAAGAGGUUCCAAUUGAUUAUGAGAAUAAAGUUGCUAUCUAUGAUGAUUAUUGUGAUGACAUGUAUGCUAUAAAGAAUAAUAACCAUGAAACUUAUCAUCAUGAUUUUAGUUUUCAAUUGGAUUAUGCCUCACAUGAUAGUUAUUUUGUUGAGUUUACUCCCACCAUUCCGAAUGAGAAGAAUUUUGCUUAUGUGGAGAGUAGUAAAUUUUCUAUUCUUGUAGAUCAUGAAAAGAAUGCUUUAGGUGUUGGUUAUAUUGUUGAAUUAAUUCAUGAUGCUACUAAAAAUUAUUAUGAGGAAGGAACAUAUGCUUGUAGGAAUUGCAAUAAUAUCAAGUUUCCUCUCUAUGUGCUUAAAAUCUUGAAGGUGUGCUUGUUUUGUCUUCCUAUGCUAGUUGAUUAUUGUUUCCAUAAGUUGUUUGCUCACAAAAUCCCUAUGCAUAGGAAGUGGGUUAGACUUAAAUGUUCUAGUCAUAUUCUUCAUGAUGCUCCCUUUAUGUUUCCAUUCUUAUCUUUUAUGUGAGCAUCAUUGAAAUCAUCAUGCCUAGCUAAAAGGCAUUAAAGAAAAGUGCUUGUUGGGAGAUAACCCAAUAUUUACCCUUAAUGUUUUUGUGUGUACACAUGAUUAUGCUACUGUAGUAAUCAUGUUUUAUAGCUUUUGUUUCAAUAAAGUGCCAAGUUGAGCCUUUGGGAAGACUUGGGUGAAAGUCAAUGUGAUCUUGCUGUAAAAAACAGAAACUUUAGCACUCACGAGAUUAGCUGCCAUAUUUUACUGGAGAGUGCUUGUAGGUUGAUUAUUUUUUCAUAUGAUUAAUAGACAAAUUCCUCAGGUCCACCAAUUUAUUUCAUAAUUUUUGGGGUUCCAGAAGUAUACGUUUGAUACAGAUUACUAUAGACUGUUCUGUUUUUGACAGAUUCUGUUUUCAUUGUGUUGUUUGCUUAUUUUGAUGAAUCUAUGGAUAGUAUGUAAGGGUAUGAACCAUAGAUAAGUUAUAAUACAGUAUAUAUUACACCAAUAUGAAUUUAGAAUGAGUUCAUUACAGUACCUAAGUGGUGAUUUAUUUUCUUAUACUAACGGAGCUUACGAGUUUUGUGUUGAGUUUUGUGUGGUUGAAGUUUCAAGUUUUGGGUAAGGAUUCGAUGAACUAUGGAAUAAGGAGUGGAAGGAGCCUAAGAUUGGGGAUUCCCAAGGCACCCCAAGGUAAUAUUCAAGGACAACCAAGCAACUAAGCUUGGGGAUGCCCCGGAAGGCAUCCCCUCUUUCGUCUUUGUUCAUCGGUAACUUUACUUGGAGCUGGGGCAUCCCCUCUUUCGUCUUUGUUCAUCGGUAACUUUACUUGGAGCUAUAUUUUUAUUCACCACAUGAUAUGUGUUUUGCUUGGAGCGUCAUUUUUUUUGUUAGUAUUUGCUUGCUGUUAUGUAGAAUAACGUUUUGCAUCUUUAUUUUUAAUAAAAAUGUCAAGGAUAGCCUUUACCUUGCUUGUUUUGCUAGUAUACAUGUUGCUGUUUGAAAACAGAAAGUUUACCGCUGUUGCAAACAUUCCCUAGAAAAGUCAGGGAAUGGUAUAAUGUUGAAACUUUUUGCAUAUUUAGCUCUGAUAAAUUCAUUACAGUGGUAAUUUUAUUUCAUAAUUUUUGGAGUUAGGGAAGUAUGAUGAGUCUUGCAUUGUUUACAGACUAUACUGUUUUGGCAGAUUGCUGUUAUGUUUGCAUUGUUUGCAUAUGCUUGCUUGUUUAAUGAUUCUAUUUGAGGAUAGGAGUAUUAAAUAUGCAGAGACAUUUAGUAUGCAAUGUUGAAUAAUAAUAUUAGUGAUUUAUUACAUUAGAAAAUGAUAAGGUUUUGCAUUGGUUUAUACAAACCUAUCUCACAAGUUCUUGUUGAGUUUGUUGUGGAUGAAGCUUUUGAUAAAAAGAAGAGAAACCGUGAUAUGAAAGGAAUUAAGGAGACACAAAAGUUCAAGCUUGGGGAUGCCCAAGGCACCCCAAGAUGAUAUUUCAAGAAGUCUCAAGCAUCUAAGUUUGGGGAUGACCCGGUAGGCAUCCCACCUUUCUUCAACAACUAUCAGUUAGUAUCGGUUGAGCCUAAGUUUUUUGCUUCUUCACAUGAGUCGUGGUAUCCUUGCAAUGUCAUUUUAUUUUGCUUUGCUUUCUGUUUGAAUAAAAUACGAAGAUCUUAAAUUCCUAAAUGAGAGAGAGUCUUCACAUAGUUGCAUAAUUAUUUAGCUACUCAUUGAUCUUCAUUUAUAUCUUUUUGGAGUAGUUUUUCAUUUACUCGUGUGCUUGACUUAUAUCCUAUGAGUAACUGGUUGAAUGAGUUGAAUGUCAUAAAUCUGAAAUUAUAUAUGUUUCAUUUGCUUAUCCCAUGGGGAGUAAUGACUUCACAUCUAAGAAGUAGAGGUAGUAAGUUUAUUGACGGUUAGCAAGCAUUGUAUUGGUCAUUUGAACAAUUCAUGAAAUAAUCGACAGUGGCUAUUAAGUGAGUGGUGGAUGGGUAACGAAUUUCUUCGUCGUCCGCUUCCCACUCGAGCCGGACACAGUUCGGCCAAGAGUCUCCUGAUAAAGAGAAAGACCUUAGUGAAUUUAGCACGUCACCCAAGGGUGAGUGUUGAAACAUAUCCGCGGAGGUAAACUCCAUGUUCAGUGCCCAACGGAUUCGACAGGCACGGACAUACGCGGUCCGGAACCCGAGACCGGAGACAAGUCCGGGGGUUUGGUGACACAGAUUUCUUUAGAGGUGGAGUCUGUGUUCGGCUCCAUCACCGAUGAGUGUGCGGCCUCCGUGGCGGGGUCCAUCCACCCAUCCUCGGAUGGUGCAAUCUGCUCCAGAUUAAAGCCGGGGCAGCUGCAGGUGCGAUAGUCCAAAGACCGUCAGAGGGCAGAUCUAAGUCAUGCCCGUCGUGGUUGUUCGGCGCUCCUGACGUAGGCCCGAAUUCGUCGAAGAUCAAGUCCCCGCGGAUGUGGCCGUGUAGUUCAAGUUUCCGAACCUGGCCUGAUGGCCAGGGGCGUAGCUGUCGAUCUGCUCCAGAUGGCCAAGCGAGUUGGCCUGCAGUGCGAAGCCGCCGUAUACGAUGAUCUGUCCGGGGAGAAGAGUCUCACCCUGGAUCGCAUUGUUGCUGGUGAUUGAAGGAGCCAUCAAGCCUUGAAACGACAACAUAGUGGAACUCUCAAUGAAAGCACUAAUGUCGGUGUCAAAACCGACGGAUCUUGGGUAGGGGGUCCCGAACUGUGCGUCUAAGGCUAAUGGUAAUAGGACGCUGGGGACACGAUGUUUACCCAGGUUCGGGCCCUCUCGAUGGAGGUAAUACCCUACUUCCUGCUUUAUUGAUCUUGAUGAUAUGAGUAUUACAAGAGUUGAUCUACCAUGAGAUCGUAGAGGCUAACCCUAGAAGCUAGCCUAUGAUUAUGAUUGUUCUUGUCCUACGAACUAAACCCUACGGUUUAUAUAGACACGGAGGGGGCUAGGGUUACAUAGAGUCGGUUACAUAGAAGGAGAUCUAUACAUCCGAAUCGCCAAGCCUGUCUUCCAUGCAAACGAGAGUCCCAUCCGGACACGGGACGAAGUCUUCAAUCUUGUAUCUUGAUAGUCCAACAGUCCGGCCAAUGUGUAUAGUCCGGCUGUUCGAAUACCCCCUAAUCCAGGACUCCCUCAAGGGCUAUUACCGGAUGAUGUUUCCCGAGGCCCGAAGCUGUCUAAAUCCUUGUCUUAUGUGUUGAUCCGUCACGUGUCUCUCAUCCCGACCAACCCCUCUCAAGCUACCACAUAGAUGCGUUGGACUCACGACUAAGUCCGCACACUAGGACAUCUGCCGUGACAAAUCCACGACACUCGCCAUGCCUGUCACAACCAUCUUCCUUUUGGCCUCUCUUUUUUCGUCCCGAUUCUCAUACCGACUUGUGGGGGAAUCAUAGUCUCCAUCGCCCUUUCCUCAUCAGGACAAUGCUCUAAUAAUGAUGACCAUCACAAUUUUAUUUACUUACAACUCGAUAAAACUGAAAAUAUGACUCUAUAUGAAUGCCUCUAGCAGUGGCUGAGCUACAAGUAAUAUGUCAGCUAUAUGAUAAUGCAAAGCAAUAUGAAAAUGAAGGUUUAUGAAAUAAAAAUGAACGGUGCAAGUUGCAUGACAAUAUAUUUCGGAAUGGCUAUGAAAAUGCCAUAUAGGUAGGUAUGGUGGAUGUUUUGGGGAAGGUAUAAGGAGGCUUAUGUGUGAUAGAGCAUAUCAUCUCACGGGGUUUGAAUGCACCGACGAAAUUUGCACCAACUCUCGAGGUGGGAAAGGGCAAUGCAUGGUAUCGAAGAGGCUAGCAAAUUGCACAUACUUGGGCAACGUCUAAUGGCGGAGACUUUGUCUGGUGAUGGCACAGUCGGCUGCGUUGUUGAUAGGGCCCUUCGGUGACAGCGCUAUGGGUUGGUGAUAACGGCCGAGCUACGUUGGCGGUUAUGUGGAUAGGCAAAAAUGAGGGGAGAAAUAGGACGGGUCAGGCUAGGUCAGGGUUCUCAUAAGAUUUGAAAUAGGCCCUGGCGGAUAGGCCGACAUGUCAGACGUGUCCGGGCGACCCCAUACCGCCCACAUAUAUAUGGGUUGGGAAUGGGUGCCAGGCAGCCCAAAACUAAUUGAAUGAAUCCAAAGAGAUAAUUUAUACUCAUUAAAAUUCUUUUUAAAAAAUUAUACUCAUUAAAAGCCUUCCUUUCUAACACUGCCCCCUUUAACUUUCUACCAUAGUUAGAGCCAUGUCGAUAAAUAUUUAUCUUUGACCAAUUAAUAUUUCACUUUUAAUUGAACGAAGUAGUAAUUAAAUUGGAGAGGCCUUAUCUUUGGGUCACAUUAAUUUCCUACUUUGAUAUGGGGAGAGACUUCCAGGCUAUAUAACAAGGUGAAUUAGCACAGAAGCACCGUGUCAGUGUCAGUAUCAGUGUAGGAAGAGCGGCAGAUCCACCGAAAUGGCAAGCAUAGCGCUCGUGCUCACAGUUUGCUUCUUGGGCUUUUACGUGCCCGCCCCUUCCCUGGCGUCGUCCUCCAACAACAACGACUUCCUCCGGUGCCUCUCCACUAGCAUCCCCGGCCAGCUCGUGCUGACGCCGAGCUCGCCGUCGUUCACGCCGCUCCUCGUGUCAUCCAUCAGGAACGCCAGGUUGGUGGCGCCGGCGACGGCGAAUCCUCCGCUCUGCAUCGUGACGCCCACAAACGCGUCGCACGUUCAGGCCGCCGUGCGCUGCGGGCGCCGCCACAGCGUGCGCGUCCGCGUGCGCAGCGGCGGGCACGACAAUGAGGGCCUCUCUUACCGAUCGGCCACCCCCAACGGCGAGGCGUUCGCGGUGAUCGACCUCGCCAAGCUCCACGCCGUCCACGUCAACCCGCAUGAGGCCACCGCGUGGGUCGAGACCGGGGCAACGACCGGAGAGCUCUACUACCGCAUCGCCACUGCGGCGCCAGGGCUGGGCUUCCCGGCUAGCGUGUGCCCGACCGUGGGCGUGGGGGGCAUCAUUAGCGGCGGCGGCAUAGGCCUCAUGAUGCGCAAGUAUGGACUCUCCGCCGACAACGUCCUCGACGCUAGUAUGGUGGAUGCCAACGGGAACCUACUGCCGAACAAGAAGGCCAUGGGGGACGACCUCUUCUGGGCAAUCCGCGGCGGCGGCGGCGGGAACUUCGGCAUCGUGCUGGCAUGGAAGCUGAGGCUCGUACCGGUCCCACCAAAGGUGACCUUCCUCAAAGUCGCCAAGACCAUGGACCAGGGCGCGGUCGACGCGGUGACCAAAUGGCAAACGCUCGCGCCGGCGCUCCCUGACGACCUCAGCGUACGGGUCGUUAUCCAAAAGAGUCAGGCCAACUUCCAGUCCCUCUACCUCGGCAACUGCAGCACGGUGGUGGCGACGAUGCGCAGCCGGUUCCCGGAGCUCGGGGUGACGAGCGCCGACUGCAAGGAGAUGAGCUGGCUGCAGUAUACGGCGUACAUAUACUUCGGCGACGCUAUCAACAGCAAGCCGCUGGAGGCGCUCCUCCUCAACCGGUCGACGACCCUAGGCCCCUUUGUUAAGAACAAGUCCGACUACGUCAAGAAAGCCCUCACCAAGGAGACCUGGAAGAAGAUCUUCCUUUGGCCCAACGGCGCGGGGUCGGGGCAGCUCAUCCUCGAGCCGCACGGCGGAAUAAUGGGCCGCAUUUCCGCCAACAAGAUCCCGUUCCCGCACCGGAGCAGCGUGCUCUACAACAUCCAGUACGUGGAGCUGUGGAAGGGCAAAGAGGCCGGGGGCGACAUUACACCGAACUGGAUCGGGAGCCUUUACGAGUUCAUGACGCCGUACGUGAGCAAGAACCCGAGGGGCGCCUACGUGAACUACCGGGACCUUGACAUGGGCGUGAACAAGGUGGUCGGUGGGGUCAUGUGUUACGAAACUGCCAAGGUGUGGGGCGAGAGGUAUUUUGGCCCCGCAAACUUCAAGAGGCUCGCCAAGAUCAAGCGCAAGGUGGACGCCAGCGACUACUUCCGGAACGAGCAGAGCGUGCCGCCGCUUCCCUUGAAGUAGUGGUCAAGCUGUGCAAAUCAAUCUUGUUUGUCCGUAUUGUAACUGCUAAUAAUAGUUCUGAUGAGCUAAUAAGGCCAUUAACAUUUGUCAACAUAAUUAUGAUAAAGUGCUCAGUUUUUUCUCUCAUAUAAGUUUUCCAUUUUUCUUAUUCUCAGCUGCAAGUGAAUUUGUGUGAAAUUUAUGUGAUAUUUUAAGACUGCACCACUAUUAAGAGGUUACUACUAUGAGGUAAAAUAAUUUUCAGGGAAUUUUGAUCAGUCAGUGAAAUUUAUAAGAUAGUAUUUUUU
rnacentral:lncRNA from 1 species